UUUUUUUUUUUUUUUUUGCUACUCGUAGCCAUGGUGUUUUUUUUGGUUGGCUACUCGUAGUCAGGGACGAGUAGGAGGCCCUUUUCGGCUAAGCCUCGAGUUGAAGAGCUAAACAAACAUAAAUGUGAAGUUCAACAAAGGUAUUUAACACAUUAUUAUCAUAGUACCAUAGGUCGCUUGCAAGCAUAAAGGUUGGUUAAUAGGAGAUGCGCUAAUUCUUCCAGUGAAGCAGUGACUACUAGUAACUGAGAUGUUUCAGAUUCUUCUUCUUCUUGGGAGGCAGAAGCACGGAGCUGAGAGCAUCGCGAUUCAUCAGGGCAGCUCUCUGCAGCUCCAUAACCUGCAAAAGUAAACAACGUGCUAGUCAAUUCAAAGAGGCAAGCAAAACAUCGGCAGCUAUAGCAACGCGCGUGCUGAGUUGCGUAGAUAUCCCGCUUAGCUACCUGGAACUUUGUCAGAGUGACUUCUUUCUCCACAAGCUCCUUCAUCUGCAUCUUGGCCUCAUUGGCUACCCGCAGACUGCUAUCCAAAGAGAGGGGGCCAACACGGAGAUCAUCAGUCACAAUGAAGUUGUGAGCCGCCUGACCGACAUAUGCUUCAGAGUUGCCACUUUUCGCACCAGGCGACUUUUGGAUCCAACUCGCAAAGCUCAGCAGUCUUCGUACUGUUUUCACAAUUGAUGUAUUCAUGUCUGUGAUAACCAUGAGUGGCGCUAUAACGAUAGGCUUGUUCGUGACAACGGCCAAGAUUAGAAAAACCACCAAUCUUGAAGCAGCUGAAACAAGAAUUGAUCUUUAUCUUUUUGGGAGCCGAUUCAGCAACCAGUAGGAUCUGGCUACCGCCGGAACCAAAGAAGGGUGGCACCUCUGGGUCUAGUAGCAGCCUCUGGUAGUCUGGUCCCAUGCAUCCUUCAGCACUACCACUUAUGGUCCUGUAAAGAUUAUCAAUGCAUCCAUUUGGUAACCUCUGACCGAAUGUCUUUGUAGUACAGUACAGUGGAAUUAACUUUAGUCUGACGAACCUUUAUUUUCACGUUGCCUAUCUUGUCCUCGGCCUCGCUCACUUGUUCAGGACACAGGUUCCUAGGGAGCAUACCAAGGCUGCCAUCAUCGAGUGGUAUAGGAACGUCGAAAUGGAGCCCGGUUAAAGGUUGCUUGGAUGUCAAUGAUCUCUUGAGCAAACUAGAUAUCUGUAAGAAACGCAUUGAAGGUUAAUCAGUCGCGCGCCAGCAUGUCAGUUAAAUCUGUAAGCAAGUGCGUUGCCUUUUCUUUUGGAACCCAAGUGUACUGCAAUUUUGAAAGUUUAAUGGUUUGAUGUUCGAACAACAAAAUAAUCUAGUUCGAUAGACAAACCUUUUCUGAAGUGAGCUGGAGCAUACUCUGCUCAAGAUCGGCUGGAUCCUGUACUCCAAAUUUCUGACAAAGGGACAGCAUCAGAGAUGUGGAGGCUGGUGCUACCUGAAGAUCAUCAGUGAUGAUAAACUUCUGGCGUCCUCUAACAAAAAUUCCAAUCUCAGAACUAGCAGCCGCAGUCUUGCCAUCGUCCUCCGGCCUAUCCCCAGCGUACUCCAUGACUUUGCCGGAUUUGCAGAGGGUGUCAGGGACCGAGCUAAACGCGCGAUCGCCAUGAGCGCAACAGCCCGUGUCUUUGCAGACAUAGACAGCCAUCGGUGUCAUCGAUGUUGAUCUUGAGUCGACAGCAAUGGCUGGAAGCAGCGUUGAGCGGUUUCAGAAGCAUCACCUUGCAGGCCUUGGUUUUGAAGUACUCCGAGUUCAGAUCCUCGACACUCUUGUACAACUCGUCAAGGCACCCCAUCUGAGACUGCUUGCCCAGAAGGCGAACGAUGGUGCCGAGAGGCAUGGUGAGGAAGCCGAAGAGGACGUCGACGUACUCCUUGUCGGACUCUGCAAAUAGCACCUUCUUCUUCUCCUUGUCAACAAACAGCUUCACGUCGAUGGUGGACGCUUAAUUCUUAGCCAUGGUAGAUGCAAUGGGUGAGUGUUUGCUGGAUGAACUGGUAUGAUUUCUUAGUGCUACCUGUACUCGUGAUCCUUAAAUACGUCCUGAUACAGACUGCGGUGAGUAGCCCUGGCUACGGAAUUUGAUCAGCCAGGGUAAUAUGAAACGGCACAUUGUUCCUUGGGAAUUCGCACCAAGAGCCCGGCAUUGAAGGGCUAAUUAUGCCCGGAACAUCUCGUUUUCCGCAGGAAGUUUAAGGGCUCUUUUCUACCAUGAGUUCAUCGUGAAUUACUUUUACUCUUUUUUACUUACAGCGAACGGCGUUCUUGCCAUUGUUUAUGGGGUGACGGGACGUGGAAGUUUAAUUUUUUAAAAAAGUUUCCUUACGUUUAUCCAUACGAUCAUACCACACGGUAACACUAGUAAAGUAAAAAAUGAUAUGAAAUAUGAAAGAUCGUCCUACUAUCUUGUCUAAAAUUUUCCUAAACGAACAAUCUUUGUGGAUGGAAGGAUUAAUUAGGUCAGUCUCAGUGCACGGUUUUACUUGUACAGUAAUUGUGCCUGUUGGUGUCAUGGGGAUGAAACUCCUCUUUCAUAAAAUGAAAUUCUCUUCUCAUAAUUACCUUACCAAAUCAACAAAAUUGAUAAUGUGACAUAAAAUUUUAAUGUUACGAAACUCCUAUGAAACCUCCUGUUGAGACUGGCCUUAAGGGAACAUUGUUACUUCUCACAACUAUUGUGUCUAAAAUUUCCCAAACGAAGACUUAUUUAGGGACGAAGGGAGUAACAAUGUUACAACCACUUCUCUUUUUUGAAAUCCUUUAAUUAUGCGUAUAGAGUGAAAAUAUUGUAAUAACUACUACUUUUGAUGUUCUCGACAGAUAAACAUUAUAAGUAGUUUUUUUAUAAUUAAAGGGAAGCUAAGAGAGGCCAACUGAACAUGUUCAUUCCACGAAAAGCUUUUACAUGAUUAGGCAAAUCAGCCACCAAAGGGAAUUAGUGAUCAAGGUACAUAUUAGAGGUGGAUAGAGAGCCAUACAUUAAGGAUUAUAAUCUCAGCACAACCACAACCAACACAAAAUGGUAAAAAAUAAGAAACAAAAGGAAAGAAACCGAGAUAAAUCGUUGCCUCUCCUAAACUACAAAUCGUCGGUAGGCACGAUCACAAUGGAAACCCCACGCGCGAAGCUAUCCACUCCACAAACCACGGGGGAGUCAUCACCACGCAAAGUGGUGGGGAAAAAGUCAAUUUUACUCCCCUCACCUAUCCACUUUAUCCACUUAACCUCCCGAACAGUCACUCUACUCCCCUGAACUAUUUCAUUUGAUCCAAUCUACCCCUAAUUAGAUUUCUUUUUUUCUCCGUGUAUGACUUGAAUUUUCAGUUCAAAUUUUGUGAGCAAAUACAAAAUAUGACGCCUUAUGUUAAAAAAUUAUACUACAAUUUUUCAUAGUUAUUUUCAUAGGUUAGAAAUAUUUAAUACAAAAUUGAUCAAAAUUGUAUCAAUGUUUUAAAUAGUGGCUAUAAAUUAUAAGUAUCUAGCAGGAGCCUUCCGUAUAUAUCCACAAGAAUCCGUUAUUUCUGUUGCAACGCCACAGCAGUAGCUCUCCAGAUUCCACUGUAGAGCUACUAUGGUACACUAUUUAAAACACCGAUUUGUGUCUGAGAGAGUUGACCUAUAUUUUAAGCACGGUUUUCUACUUUUUGAUAUUGAGACUAAUAAGUUUUAGUAUCUUUACAAAUCCCCUUGCAUUUGGACACGAAGAGAGAGCAUGUAUAAAUGCUAAAGUGCUGUCAUAAAAUGUACCAAUAAACCCACGUUAAGCGCAUCAAUCAUGGGUCAGAACUUCAGAUCAACAAGGGGACACUAUUUAUAUAGUAUUGGUUAUAUAUGCAAUCAUAAAUUGGGGAAACAUUAAACUAAGCAUAAUCUUGAGGGCAAUGCAGUGACUGAUUUUCUGCUAUGAACAUUAAAUAGAAAUUGCGAGUCAAAUUAGAAUUUUGGAGACGGUGUCUGAGUCAAACCGCCACGUGAUGGCAUCAAUCAUCAGUUCAGGCAACUUCAGUUCAACAAGGGGACACUGUUUAUACUAUAAUAUUGGUUACAUGUCCAAUCGUAAAAUGGGGAACUUUUGAACUAGGCAUAUAGGCCGGAAAGUGUGGUGAUCUAGGCAUCUAGCUUCCUCUUCUUGGGAGGCAGAAGCACAGAGCUGAGACCGUUGCGACUCACCAGUGCAGCUCUCAGUAGCUUCAUGAUCUGUACAAACAUUAGGAACACUCGGAUCAAGUCAACUAGUCAAGCAGGCAGUAUACAAAAUAUAAGUUAAGGAUUUUAACAAACUCCCGAACACAAAUACGUCUAGAUUUUUUUUUUGGAAGAAAAAUACCUGGAGUAUUGUGAGAGUGACUUCUUUCUACAGGAGUUUUCCUGGCCGAAUCUUCGCUGCACGAACAGCCUGUAGAGUGCUUGACAUUGAAAGAGGAAGAAUAUGCAGGCCAUCAGUCACCAUGAAUUUAACAGAUCCUCCCUUCACGUAUGCUUCACUGUCUUCACUUCCUCCGUUUGGCGAUUUUGGAUUCGACUCAUGAAGGUUAGUGGAUUUUACACUGUUCUUGCAAUAGGUACACUCAUAGUACCGGAUCCUGCCAAAGUUACAACUGUAAACAGGAGUUUCCUUCAAACAUCGGCCAAUGUCAGCAAAACCACCGGCCUUGAAGCACUUAAUGCAGGCUUUGAUUUGUAGCUUUCUUGGAGCUAAUUCUUCAACUUGUAGGAUCUUGGUGGUUCUGCAACCAGAGAAGGGCUCUGCUUUUGGGUCUAUUAACAAGCUCUGGCACUCUGGUCUUACACAUCCUUUAGCACUUCCAUCUAUGCUCUUAUAGAGAUUAUCAAUACAUCCUUUAAAUGAGCCCUGAUGACAAUAUGUUUUCAUGAUAGAUCCUAACGGGAUGCUUAACGAGCCAAAUAGAAGAUCGACGAAAUCGUCAGAAACUUCAGCAUACAACACGGAGUUGUUUCUUGUCUGAAGAACUCUUAUCUUCACGCUGUUUAGCUUUUGGUCUAUAUCAUUAUGUUGGUCAGCAUACAAUUUCUCAGAGAGCACAAACAGGUCUACAUCAUCAUAAUCGAUAGGAAUAUCAAAAUAAAUCCCAGUUAAAGACUGCUUGGUCGUCAAUGAUCUCCCAAGCAGGCUAGUUAUCUGUAACAAGUGGAUGGACUUAUCAAAAAAAAGUUUUAAGCUAAAUGCAUCUUGAAUUCGAGAGUAGUUCGCUCUGGGAAAAACAAAAUACAUAGCUAUGAGGAGGCAAACCUUUUGUGAAUUGAGUUGGACAACCGUUUUCUCCAGAGUUGCUGGAUCACGUACUCCAAAUCUUUGAAAGAGAGACAUCAUGAGAGACGUCGAAUUAAGCUGGCGCAACUAUGAGAUCAUCAGUGAUGAUAAACUUGAAGCAGCCGUUCACAAAAAACCCCAGAAUCAGCGUCUCCUCCAGCAGGUGCAAGGUUCCCAUGAUUCUCCGGCCUAUCCCCAGCGUACUGCAUGUCUUUGCCACAUUUGCAGACUGCGUCAGGAACCGAGCUAAACCUGCAAUCACCACCAGAAGCGCUGCAGCUUUUGUCUCUGCAGACUGCUUUUGUAGAGAGCUACCUGAGUUUCGUCUAGUGUGAUUUCUUUCUCAGCGAGCUUCUCCUUUGGAAUCUUUGCUGCACGCAGUAGUUGGAGAGUGUUCGAAUACGUAGACUGUUUGUUACUAUGAAGUUUCUCGAGCCUCCCUUGAUAUAUGCGCCAUUACUACUCGAUGCGUACGCGCUUGUAGUUUUCGGGUUCGUCUCGUAAAGACUUGCGCCCGAAGGGUUCUUGCAAGGACAAGUCUGUGUGCGUGCUCGAAGACAAGUCAGCACUUGACCUUCAAAUGUCUUGUAUCUAAUUCUUUGACAUGCAGUGCAUUGAUACUGCAACCAAAGUGGGGCGCCAACUUUGGGGCUAUCAGUAACUCUUUGCACUCACUUUUAAUGUGCCCUAUCCCCGCUAUAUUCCUGUAAAGAUUGUCAAUACAUCCAUUUGGGGACCACUGCCCAUAAGCCUUGAUUAUGGAUCCAGGUGGAAUGCUAAGGAGGCCAAAGAUAAGAUCAACAAAAUCUUGCCCAGCCUCCGCAUACAGCACUGAUGCGUCGUCCUUUGUCUGAAUGGGUUUAAUCUUGAUGGGGUCGAACUUGUGUUCAGGGUGUUUCGGUUGUUGAAUGAAGUUCUCGGGGAGCUGAUCUAGAUUUACAGCAUCCGGUGUAACCGCAGCAUCAAAAAAUAGUCCGGUUAAAGCUUGCUGGGAUAUUAGUGCUCUCUUAAGCAAGAGAAUAGUGGGUUCUGCGUGUAGCCCGAACUUGUCCAGCAGGGAAAACACGAUACUUGCAGAAGCAGGAGACACAUGGAGAUCGUCAGUGAUGAUUAACUUGAUACCACUUAUGACAAACCCGCCAUCCCCACUGUAUGCAACAGAAGUAUGAACGAUUUGUGGAUGUUCCGCAAAUGUUUGCCCUGUGCCGCAGUUCAUGCAAACCGCAUCAGGGACUGAGCUAUACGAAAAACCUGGGCAACGCCGAUUUGAGCAAAUGCCGACCUUUCUAGGAUUGGUGUCAUCAAUCCUGAUUUUGAGUUGACCGCACUGACUUGCGGCAGCAUUGAGGGGGCUAAGAAGCAUGGCCUUGCAGGCCUUGGUCUGGAAGUGAUCUAUGCUGAGACUCUCCACGCUCUUGUACACCUCAUCGAGGCAACCUGCUCCAGAUUGCUUGCCGAGAAGGCGCACGAUGGUGCCAAGAGGCAGGGUGAGGAAACUGAAGAGGACGUCCACAAAGUCAUUGUCGGAUUCUGCCAACAACACCCUCUGCUUCUCCUUGUCGAGGAACAGCUUCACAGCAACCGUUGCUCCAUCGUUCGACAUGGUGUGUGUGGAUGUGUUCCAACCGGAAAGCAGGGUGCCUAUGCAGUCCUCUAAAUGCCUACGCAUGCAGCGAUUCAACUUCGGCAUUUUGCAGGUCUGAUCUCAAAGGACGCCCGACGAUUGAGAUCACGGCCGGGCAGCCGCCUAUAUUGAAUGGACGAUUCACAUCUCACAGUAGUAUCACACUGCAUGCAAGCCGCUUCGUUUUCCAACAGGAGAGGAUGGUGUUCACUGUUCAGCCAGCCUCGUUGCAUUGUUUCUCACUCAAAAGUCGAAACUGCAUGCCACGAAUGGACGGCGCGUAUCCUCUUCCGGUUCUAGUUAAUUUCUGCCAUGCCUUCAUUUCUCGCAGAAAUUGAAGUGCGGUGUUUGGAAGAGGGGUGCUAAACUUUAGCACCCUCACUUUAGUCCAUUUUAGUUACUUGUGCUCCCAAACAGGUGAGCUAAAACUGGUGGACUAAAUUUUAGCCCCUCACUAAUCCUUUAGGGGGUGUUUGGGAGAGGGGUGCUAAAAUUUAGCACCCCCAUUUUAGUCAGUUUCAGUCUCCAUAGCUUCGAAACAGAAGUGCUAAACCACUGGUGCUAAAAUUUAGCCCACUCAUAAUCCUUUAGCCACUUAAGGGUAGCUAAGGCCCUGUUUGGGAGGAGAGGGUUAAAAUUUAGCCCUGGACUAAAAUUUAGUCCCCUUAAAUGGAGCGCUAAACUUUAACCUUUUAGGGUGUUUGGAUAAGAAGCUAAACUUUAGCACUUUGAUUACCAAAAGACUUUUUUACCUCUCAUCAAUCCACAACCAUGAUGUGUACAAAAAUGUAUCGGAUGAUUAUUCCUCUCGGCCGAUCCGAGCAAAGCAAAGCACAUUUCUUCCCAAGCAUCCAUCGAGCGCACCUAGCAGCAGCUGACACAAUAGCAAAACAGCCAUCAGCUGCUCGUCGUGGCUCGCGCUCAGGUGGUGGUGCUUGCCAUGGUGGCCGCGGUGCUGCUCGCCGCGGCGGCCUUCGAGGCCGCCAUCAGCUGCGGCCAAGUCACCUCCGCCAUCGGCCAGUGCCUCCCUUGCGCCCGCGGCCAGAGCACCGCCCCCUCCAGUGUCAAGAACGCCAAGGGGAUCAACGGACUCAACGCCGGCAAUGCCGCCAGCAUCCCAUCCAAGUGUGGCGUCAGCAUCCCCUACUCCAUCAGCACCUCCACCGAGCGAGCGUGGAUGCGGCGAGAUGCGGCUUGGGGUCGGGGAGGAGCAGCGGGGCACCGGAGGAUGCGGCGGGGCGGCGGCGCCCGACGGAUGCGUCGACGGCGCGUCCAUCGGAGUUGGGCGGGCACCCAUCGGAGUCGAGGAUGGCCGCACUCUUGUUGGACCCGGAUUCGCCCGCGACCCCGCAUCGGAGCCGCAUGUGGGAGCUACUGUGGAACCUGGACCGCCAGCUCUCGAACCGGAGUUGAGGUGGCGAGGGCCCGCGGAUCUGGCAGCUAGGACCCACGGAUCCGGUGAGGCGGGGCCGGCUGGGCUUGAUCUGCCGACGGCGGUGGGGUCUGGCAAAGGAGGCGGGGCCGGGCGGAGCAUGCGGGGAGAGAGAGUGCAGGGAGGAGAGAGAGGGGGAGGGGUAGGGGGAAAGUGGUCUGGGGGACCACUUUUUAGUUCAUUUAGUCAGUUUUAGCUACCUUCAAGUGGCUAAAGGAUUAUGAGUGGGCUAAAUUUUAGCACCAGUGGUUUAGCACUCCUGUUUGGGAGCUAUGGAGACUAAAACUGAUAAAAAUGGGGGUGCUAAAUUUAGCACCCCUCUCCCAAACACCCCCUAAAACUAACGGGGCUCGCCACAGCCUCCGCCAGCGCCUCGACGGGGCUCGCCACUGCCUCGCCGAUCCCCUCCACCUCGCCUCGCUGGGCCUCGCCGGGAUCCUCGUCGCGCCUCCGCCUGAGAUGUGCCACGAGCAGGAAGAGGACGACGCUUUGAGAAGGAAGAGGGGGGUGAAGGAGAGAGAAAGCAGGGGUAAAUCUGUCUUUUGUUAAUACAUGUGCUAAAAUUUAGCCUCCUUUUCAAACACCCUGAAGGGCUAAAGUUUAGCAUCCGAUGGUAAAUUUUAGUACCUUCCUCCCAAACAGGGCCAGUAGUAUUUUCUUAUGCUUUUUCACGCUUCCAGUUUUCCUUCAGACAGGCCGCUAGCCCACUCAUAUGGCCUAGACCAGAAAGGUUUCUAAUAAGCCCACGAUCGCAUACUUCACGGGCCACAAGCACAUAACAAGGCAGCCCAGUAAGAUGAUGAUGGGGUUGGUCAGUCAGGGCCCAAAACAUCGAGGUCCACGCAGGGUUCCUGGGCCUCUCUCUUUCUCUACCUACCGCGGUCCGAGAAGAUUUGCUAGAAACGGCCCGGUUCGCUGUUCAGCGCUGCCACACAAGCACGCGGCGCCGGCAGAGCCGCAGAGAGGCGGGGCGCGCUCGCCGCACGACGGCACGAGACGAAACGAAAACCUUGGAGACGAGCGAGCCCGUGCGCGGAUGGUUGGUUGCCGCUGCCGCUCGCGACCCGCAGUCAGCCAUCGAGACGAGUCCGCGCGCCAGAACCCUGCGCUGCGCCACAUCUGCCUGCACUUCAAAAAUAAUAUCGCGGCCGUGCCCCCGCCCCAGUGCCACGUGGAAAGGCGUGUCCGUGCGCGCCUCUUCGGUUAGCGAGCCAACCGAGAUGGCGUCCGGAACGCGGCACGCGGAAACCGUGUACGUGCAUCGUCUACGAGUAAAGAUCUACGAGUAGCCUGUACACAACCCUAAGCACGUGCACGGAGCAGGCAGCUGCUAAAAAUGGCAUAGGUCAUUGACUGCUUUGCUUGCAUGCAUUGUGCGUUGUCAUUAGGGCUUAUGCGCUUCAGCCUCCAGCGUUUGGCAAGUAUGGACUUAAUCAGGAAGGGAAAGGAAAGGUCUCAUUGCAUGUCCAGCGCUUUGGUAGGUAUGGAUUUAAUCAUGAAUGGAAAUGGAAAAGUCUCAUUGCAUGUUCAUUUGUGGCCAUCAGUAUCCAAAAGAAUGAAGACAUCACGCAUAUGCCAUCUCUGCUAUACAGUAUGCAUGGCAGGCUUCUUGGUAGGUGUGUCGAUCGAUCAACUAACGAUGGAAUUCAGAAAUUGUUUUAACAUUUGAUUACUUCCAUAAUUAUCCCUUAUCAUGUAGACCACUUGUGGAAUUUCAAAUGAUGUAAAUUGCUCUGCAGUAGAAGUUUAAAACUUAAGAUAGGAAGUUUUUUUAAAGAUAGUUGAUGUCCAAAAUUUACAGAUUAUUGCUCAUUCCAAUUUCAAGGUUUAGCAUUAUUCUGUUUUAUUAUCAUGAGAAGACUACAUAAUUAUGUAGUAUAUCUUAGAUAUAUUAAACAACAGCAUACGCGUGGCCGUUGGCCUGUUUCAAAAAAGAUCGGAAUUCAGUUCCUUCAGGCGCGGAAUCGAUCUGUCGCCAAUUCGCCAUUGGCCAAGAUACCCCUUUGACCCAAGAUUCUCUCGUCUCCAACCACCCAACAAACCACCCGAAGCGGAUCUUCGGCGCUCCCAGCCAGCCGGGAUAUUUAUACCGCGCGCCGUCACAGGCUUGCUCUGAACCUCAACACAGAUCUGAAGAAGGUGCGGGCCGCCGGCUUGGAGGCGCCGAGCAGCGAUGGAGAUCGAGCACCAUUCCGGCGGCCGCGUGGCGGCCGUCGGCGGCGACGACGACGACGUGGAGCUGGUGGAGCAGGUCCGGCUGACGGUGCCGACGACCGACGACCCGACGCUGCCCGUGUGGACGUUCCGCAUGUGGACCAUCGGCGUCGUCUCCUGCGCGCUCCUCUCCUUCUUCAACCAGUUCUUCGCCUACCGCAGCGAGCCCAUCAUCAUCAGCCAGAUCACCGUCCAGGUCCGCCUCUUCUGUUCCCGAAUCCCGAUCGAUCUUGCCUGCCUGCCAUGUCUCGGCUCGGCUUCUGGACGUUUCUGGCAAGCAUGUGAACGCAGGUGGCGGCGCUUCCGGUCGGGCACUUCAUGGCGCGGGCGCUGCCGGACAAAAAGUUCUCGGCGUUCGGCAGGGAGUGGUCCAUGAACCCGGGGCCCUUCAACGUCAAGGAGCACGUGCUGAUCUGCGUCUUCGCCAACGCCGGCGCCGCGUUCGGCAACGGCGGCGCGUACGCGGUCGGCAUCGUCACCAUCAUCAAGGCCUUCUACCGCAGGAACAUCUCCUUCGUCGUCGGCCUGCUCCUCAUCAUCACCACUCAGGUACGUGCCGGUUUGUGUUUCGCACGAUUAAUUGUAGGUGUUGUGCAUGGAACAGGGCGCUGAUUUCCAUGUCUGUAGGUGCUGGGGUACGGAUGGGCAGGGCUGAUGAGGAGGUACGUGAUCGAGCCGGCGCAAAUGUGGUGGCCGCAGAGUCUCGUGCAGGUGUCCCUCCUCAGGUGAGAGACCACUGGUCGCUGAUGUGUCUAAGGCUAGUCCCAGUGCAAGGUUUCAUUGCACUAUUUUCAAAGAUGCCACAUCAUCCCAUGAGGUGUAUUCUCAUGAAUGAAGCAGGGAGUCCCAGUGCACAGUUUCAUUUCACGAUUUCAUAGGAUGCCCAUAACAUUUAAUUGUGAGGCAUGUGAUUGGAUAUGGUUAGAUGAAAUGAAACUCUAUAGCCCCCAAUGCAAGUUUCAAUAGGUUUCAUAGUAACAGUGUAUACACAAUUUCAUCCUGAUGAAACUCCUUCUCUCUCACUUCAUAACUACCAUGCCAUGUCAUCACAUAUGCUGAUGUGUCACCGUAUUUAAUGUGCAUGAAACCUCUAUGAAACUUCCACUGGGAUUAGCCUAAUAAUUCGACCAAAUCCUUUCGACGCAUUACUCACUGACAGUUUGAUUACGCACGCACGCGUGCAUUCAGAGCGUUGCACGAGAAGGAGCAGGGUCGGCGGAUGACGCGUGGCAAGUUCUUCCUGAUCGCGCUCGUCUGCAGCUUCACCUGGUACACCGUCCCGGGCUACAUCUUCCCGACGAUCACCGCCGUGUCGUGGGUGUGCUGGGCGUUCCCCAAGUCGGUGACCAUGCAGCAGAUCGGGUCCGGCCUCAACGGCCUAGGCGUCGGCGCCUUCACCCUCGACUGGUCCGUGGUCGCCUCCUUCCUCUCGAGCCCGCUCGUGUCGCCCUUCUUCGCCAUCGUCAACGUCUACGUCGGCUUCGUCCUCCUCGUCUACAUCAUCGUGCCCGCCUGCUACUGGGCCUUCAACCUCUACGACGCCGGCACCUUCCCCAUCUACUCCACCGACCUGUUCACCGGCGCCGGCCAGCUCUACAACAUCACCGCCAUCGUCAACGACAGGUUUGAGAUCGACAUGGGCGCCUACGAGCAGCAGGGGAAGAUCCACCUCAGCUUGUUCUUCGCCAUUUCCUACGGCCUCGGCUUCGCCUCCAUCGCCGCCACGCUGUCGCAUGUCGCCCUCUUCUACGGGAAGUACGUGCGCUCAUCGCUUCGAUCCCUGCUCGAUCGACAUGGAUGAUCGUCAUCGUCGAUCCAAUGAUGACUGUUUUGUUUGUGCAGGGAGAUAUACCAGAGGUUCCGGGAGUCCUACAGGGGCAAGCCGGACGUGCACACGAGGAUGAUGAGGAGGUACGACGACAUACCCAACUGGUGGUUCUACGUGCUGCUGGCGUUGACCAUGGCGGUGGCCAUGGUGCUCUGCACCGUGUUCAAGGAUGAGGUGCAGCUGCCAUGGUGGGGGCUCCUCUUCGCCUGUGCCAUCGCCUUCAUCUUCACGCUCCCAAUCAGUGUCAUCACCGCCACCACAAACACGGUACUACUUACCUAGCAAUUGCAACUCCAAUGGAUCGGACAUGGUUCCCAGUUCCAGAAGUCAAUUGAUGACUGUGGUUCGUGUUUGCAGACACCAGGGCUGAAUGUCAUUACAGAGUAUACCUUGGGGCUGAUCAUGCCGGGGAAGCCGAUAGCCAACGUGUGCUUCAAGGUCUACGGCUACAUGAGCAUGAACCAGUCCGUAUCCUUCCUCAAUGACUUCAAACUUGGCCACUACAUGAAGGUCCCCCCGAGAUCCAUGUUCCUAGUUCAGGUACUACGACAAGUCUUGCUAUACAUCUCUUUGAUCGUGGCCAACUGCAGUUGAUGUCUGACCAAACAUGCUAUUCGUGUUUGAAAAUCAAUCCUUCAGUUGAUCGGGACGGUUGUGGCGGGGACGGUGAACACGAUCGUGGCGUGGUGGCUGCUGACCACGGUGCCGCACAUCUGCGAGAAGGCCCUCCUCCCGGAGGGCAGCCCGUGGACGUGCCCCGGCGACCACGUCUUCUUCGACGCGUCCGUGAUCUGGGGCCUGGUCGGCCCGCGCCGCAUCUUCGGCCCUCUGGGCUACUACAACGCGCUCAACUGGUGCUUCCUGGGCGGCCUGGUCUGCCCGCUCUUCGUGUGGCUCCUGGCCAGGGCGCUGCCGAGGCACGCGUGGUGGAUCAGCCUCGUCAACCUGCCGGUGAUCCUGGGCGCCACGGCCAACAUGCCGCCGGCGUCGACGCUCAACUACACGGCGUGGUGCUUCGUGGGCACCGUGUUCAACUUCUUCGUGUUCCGGUACCGCAAGGGGUGGUGGAAGCGCUACAACUACGUGCUGUCGGCGGCCUUGGACGCCGGCGUGGCCAUCAUGGGGGUGGUCAUCUACUUCGCGCUGUCGGGGCACCCGCUCGACUGGUGGGGGUCCAGGGGCGAGCACUGCGACCUCGCCACCUGCCCCACGGCCAGGGGCGUGCAGGUGGACGGAUGCCCUAUCCUCUGAUGAUCAAACACCCAGGACAAGAAGCACCCGCCUAGAGGUGUAGAAAUUCAAACAGAUAUGUGCUGCUGUGGUGAUUGCUAGUACCAUCGUAUUUGUACAUAAAGAUUGUGAAAUGACAUUGGGUUAGGUAUGAAAAUGCUCUUUACUCUGGUCUGAUCGGUAGUGCUUGCAUUUGUCGUCCAGUUCGGCUUUUACUUGGAUGUUGGAAGUGAUUCUUAUCCCAGCAUGUGCCUGACUUAAAGUUCCAAACCUUUGUGCUUUGUGGCUGGGCUAUAUAUAUACAUAUAUAAAGAAGUCCCUCUCUCAUUUGCCAAGGCACGGUUCAGUUGCGGAAGAACUGAAAAAUACGCUAUUUGCCACACGAAAAAAAAUUACCACGAAUCUUCUUCGUAUGCAUGAGGAUGUAACAAUGUUCUUUCCACCGUCUAAACCACACGCAUGAGGAUGAGAGGCAUCAGGAUCGAGGCUCGAGCAACAUCUUCUUCAGACUCAGUUGAUUGAAGCCGCCUUGCUCGUUCCUUCCAGGGAGUCAUCGCCAUAUGAUUGCCUCCGAGUCAGCGCCAUACGUCGAGAAUUCUACCUCCUCCCUGUGCUUCCCUACGUCUAAAAUUCCCUGCGAUCCUCUUGAGAUUGUACCGGAGGCACUCAAUUACUCUUGUUAUUGUAAUGCGGCGGUCUAAGGCUAUACAGCGUUUGGUCUUGCAGCCGUGUAUACAUUUUCUUUUCAGAAAAAUGAUGACGCCACAGUGUAGAUGAAAAAUGCAUGAGCAUUUGAUUUCUUUUCAGCCGUUCAUUACUAGUUGCGCAGGGCAUCUUCAAGACUGCACGAGCACGAUUAGCAAGAUAAAAGAGGAAAUGAAAUCACUCGUACUAUAGCAACAAAAUGUCGAAAUGUGCACAACGGUUUCAAGAAAGCAGAGUUAGGUUGCAGAGUUCUUUAGCACAUGGGCGGUUGAGCUUGGUCAGUAUCGUAUACACAUCCUCAAACUGAAAACACACCCGCUUGGCCAAGUGCACGUCGUCAGAGCUCACGGUAAUAAUAAGCUCACCUACUCCUACUCCGCUGCCUAGAGUGAACUAUCACUACGCGACUCCCAUCCGCUUCAUUAUAAAAGCAGAACGAAGGCAACUAGUAGAAGCAGAAGAGAACAACAAGAUCCAAGAAAGACGAUAUAUAUAUAAAAAAAAAGGUGAGAAACUUAAGACAGAAAUGCAAAUGCCCCCAACCAUCCUCUCCUACUGCCCUCAUGGUUAUCAUAUGGUAGAGAUAUAGACUUCGAAUCGAAGCCUGAUGUUUCUUUUCUUUGUACACGCACCGCUCCAUCUUUUGAACCAGUAACUGAGGAUGAGAGGCGUCAGGACUCAUCCUCGACCAGCUCCCUGUCAUGCUCAAUUGAUGGAUGCCGCCCUGCUUGGUUCUUCAGAGAGUCCACGCGCCUCACGAGCUUACGGCGCGGUUGAAGGUACCCGAUGAUUUUGGAACUUCAAGAACUCACGUCCAUCAUCGCACGGCCUUCACGUCCAUCAUCGCACGGCCUUCCACCUGAGAGCAGAUCAGGUGGCUACGCAGCGUUGGUCUCAUCGAGUAGCUUUUGGGCGUUCGAACCCAAAACAAGGAGAGCUGUUGAAAAGAACACCAACGAAGAAUCGUGUUGCGAGUUACCAUAGUAUUGUUUUUUUUAAACAUUGGCAGGAGCACUGCUUAUUCAUUUAAUAAGAGGAAUAAAAAUUUUAAGUGUAGCAUUACAUGGAUAUUACACGAAAACUAGUUACUCUCUUACACAUAACGUAACAAAGACUUUCUGAAAACAUUACGAAAUAAUAGGAUCUUCACGGAGGAGCGGUGUGCCACAUGCCAUUCUUCUAAGUAGAAUCUCAUUCUGAAUGAGAUGAACAAGUUGAUCAGCCCUCAGCGAUUAGUUGUCGAAAAUUCAUCGAUUCCUUUCUUUCCAAAUAUUCCAAGUGGUGUACAUUAUUACUGCUGCAACCGUCGAUGCUUUCUUUUUAGUGGCUUCAAAGUUAAGUCUCACCACUCCUGUAUGUCCCCAUCAUAAGGUGAAAUGAAGUCAGGAGGCCAUCCACCAGUUGGACACUAGAAACCAAAUUUGCUUGGCAUAAGAGCAGUGCAAGCAUAUGUGAGUUGCAGUUUCCAGCUCCUGAUCACAGAGGACACACGUUUCAGAACACGGCCAGCUUCUAGCUAGAAGAUUAUCAGCUGUCAGAAGUUUCGAUUGUACUAGAAGCCAAGCAAAGAAUUUCAACUUCCCUUCAGCAUAAGCUCGCCAAAUAUUAUUUCCCUGCACUGUUGUGACAGUGCCCUGCAGCUGAACCAAAUACGCCGAUUUUGCAGUGUAUUGACCUUCUGCGGUCCACCGCCACCGAAUUGAAUCUUCCUGGUCAGUAAGCGCAUUUUGCACCAAGUCCCACAAUACAACAAAUUCAGACAUUUCUUGAAGAGUGGUCAUGCGCCAAAGCCCUCUUGUCCAAUUGUGAUUAGGUAGCUCUUCUUGAACUGUUGUUUGCUUUCUCCAAGCUAACUUGUAAAGGUUGGGAGCAAAGUGCAUCGGAGCUUUUCCUGCCAGCCAGCUGCUUUGCCAAAAUUUAGCCUGUGAUCCAUUCCCAACAGUUACAACCGUGCUCACUCUAAACAAUUGCCUGUCUAUAUUGUCACAUGGAGUAGAGGUGCCAACCCAUGGCCUCUGAGGGUUGGUCCAUUCAAACCAUAACCACCUUAAUCUCAAACUUUGCUAAAUAGCUCAAGGUUUAAAAUUCCCAGACCACCUAAGUUUUUUUGUAACAAGACCUUCUUCAAGUGACCAAGCAAUGACCCCCAUUGACAUUUUCUGAUCCCCUCCAUAGAAAACUCCUGAUUUUGUCUAUCCUCUUGAUAGCCCAUUUUUUCAGCGAGAAAACCAUGAGGAACUAAAUGGGUAUAGCUGUGAGUACAGAUCUGACCAAGGUUGCCCUUCCAAUCCUCCUCCUAGUUCGCCUGCUGAGGGCCUCCAAUGAGUUGACCAACUUCUUGUCAAAGGACGUAGACAACAGACAUCAAAAUUCCAAAUCACUAAUAAGGCAAGUGUUCUGACACAAGUUAAAAAAAAUUUACUGAUGAACUACUGAUCAUGGGCGACAUUAAACUUGAAACAAAUUUAACUUGCACUACAAUGCAAUGUUCAUGGAACAGGACAUGUUAUAUAAGCAAACAUUAUUGUUUCAACCCAUCAGUACACAUCACUAGAAUAAAACAAAGUCAUGCCACAAUCACUCUACUUGUUCAACAUGUCCCAGUUGAAUUGUAUCCAAUUCAGUCGGCCCUCUUUCGUUUUCAUCUGCGUGAACGCCGUCCGAUAAUCCGGGUUCCUAGUACAUAAAUAAAGUGCCUGGCAGUAAAGCGGAGACCCCUCCUGUAGACCAUCUUCUUCCAUAAGCUGCAUUGCACGGACCAUUUCCUCACGGUCAACACGUUUCUGGCUUCUCGUUGCCACAGUUUCAGAAAGAUCUCUGACGUAGUCCUCCAAGCUGCCACUUUUCCUUUUCGAAGGACCGUCAACAGAGAUUUCCCAGGAUGACCUUUUGAACAAGUUAUGAGCACUACUAGCCUCAGUCCCCACGCUAGGUGUCACCUCACGAAUACCUCCUGCCGUCAGCAAGGUGCCCCUGUCUUGGGUGUCACGGCCAUACAACGUGUACAAUUCAUCGAGGAACGGGGUUGGCUUAACAGAACUCGGCUGGGCAGCACCAGUACUGGUUUCAUGCGAUGACGAACAGUACAUGUCAAUAACAAAAAUAUGUUGCUACAAAUAAGAUGAGGAAUAAGUUAUGGGACUGUCAAAGGACGUACCCCUUCAUCGUCAUCCCAAAAGCUGGAAUCAGCAGCAACGCCACCAGUUUGUUUGUCACAACCUAAACUAGAUUGGGAUUGCAAGUCCUUCCAGCUCUGGAAUGCUCUCCGCAGGGCGUUCAACUUGUUCUGCAGCUGCUUGCUGCCCAAAUUCAGACCAGUCUGUUGUUUGAAGCUGCGGUACACGUGCUGCCAUCCCAACUUAGUGAGGCACAUGUUGCUCCAAUUGAAUUGGUUCUUCUCAACAAUGCACAAAUCCAGCAAUAUUUUCGUCGUGGCCUCGUCCCAGUUGGCGCGGUUACAAGCCAUCUGAAUACAUAGCAGCUGCAAUUAUAUUGCACCGAAGUACGGAUAACCAGGAGGCAUACAAGUACACAAUUUCAGCAGUAAUGGAUAUGUUACUUGCCUUAGCAGAUGUCUUGGCACAUUUGUGGUGGAAAUUGUACGGACAGACCGGUGGGGGAGAGCACGACGAAGUGGAUGACAAUGCUAGUGUGGGCACCGUUGCUAGUUCGUAGCGGUUGGGCUGCUACUAGGCUUGUAGCAGAUGCCUGGAAAGGUGACAAACAAAAACAGGCACAUCACUUUAGUUGACUGUGUUGUAGAAAAGUUUGCACAUUUAAGCUGAAGAGCAUGCUGGAAGCACAAUGCACACAAGUGAUAACAUCAUGACCAUGGACAGAACCAGGUAAACAGAGAUUAGAUGCUCAUGGUUUGUAGUAUGAGCAAACAUGUCAUGUAUGUCUGUUUGUCAUGGUAACCCAGUUAUGAGGUCAUACAUGUAUGGCAAAUUUUUAGUAGUUCAACAUCACAGUACAAAAAUGGAGCAUGUGUAUCUAAGUAGCAACAGGAAGCUAAAAAUUUGCAAUGCUAAUGCAUAGAACACCCAAGCAUUACAACACAAUGUUCAUAAUCACAGGCAAUGCAGAAGUAAAGCAUGUUCAGGAAGCCACACAAGAGUAAGGGCUCUACAUUAAGGAAUGCAGGAGUUACCAGAAGUGAAUCUGUUGGCCCAACCAACUGAAUGUCAAGAAUUUGUUGGCCCAACCAACUGAAUGUCAAGCAUGAACAUGCAAAAACAGUGGACAAUGAACUGAGGUUCAGGAGAUGCAACCCUUUUGCUACCAACAAUUGCGAGGUUCAGUAGAUGCAACCCUUUCGCUACCAACAAUUGCGCUUGAUCAACAACGUGAGGCGGGUAAAUACUUUGCGGCUACAGGAGGCAUACCUGGGUGACCACCUGCACCUCUAGUUUGUACGGUGCCAAGGGGAGGGGGGCACGGUGAAGGACGCGGCGGCGGAGAGCCCGGAUCCCGACUGCCGUGCUAGCCGGCGACCUUGCUCCCUGGCGGCGGCGUUCAACCCCAGUGCGGCGUGUGGCGGAAGGCCAACUGCUAUCGACUGGAGCUUUCCGCUUCACUUCUGUACCCUCCGCCACCGCGCCACCGACGUCCUCCUCGCCUUCAUGGAAAUCCACCUCGAGCUCGAUGCCUCGAUUCCGAUGUCCCCGCGCUCGAUUCGACGUCCGCGGGCGAGCGCCACCACCUCAGCCCCGGUGCGGGAGUGCUCCGCCGCACGAGCGAGGCGCUCCGCUGGCCUAGCCCCGACGUGCACGAGCUUUGCCAGCCCAGAGGAGGGGAGAAGAGGAUGGCGGGGGAGUGGAGCAGAGGAUGGUGGGAGUAGAGAGGGUCGCGGGGUGAGUAGAGCAGAGGAGCUCACCAUCCAUCGCCACGGGAGAGGAGCUCAUGGGACCUGCGGAUUGUCGAUUCGCGUGGAGGAGAUGACGCUGGCAUUGAUUCGGGGCAAGGGCGGGACUGGAUGGGGGCGGGCGAGCUCCGCCGCACGAGCGAGGCUCCUCCAGCCCAGCCCCUGGGUGAGAGAUCGGCGGCAGGAGUGGAGGACACUAGAGCGGCGACGCAGGGAUGGGAGAAGAAGAGGGGAGGGAGGAGAGGGCGGCCAAGGGGGAAUGGAGCAGAGGGCGGGGGACCAGCGCGGAGCGGUGGCGCAGGGACGGGGAAGAAGAGGGGAAGGGGAGAGGAUGCGUUGAUUUGUAGUUUGGCCUAAAAAAGGAUUUUAUUCAUAAUUUAGUCCUUGAGUGAAAUAUAAGUUACCAGUUUUAGGUCUGCUGGAGAAGCGCGCAAUUUUUUUUUUACAAAACCUUCUCCCCCAAAUUUACCAAUUUUACUGAAGAUGCUCUAACUAGCCACAUAGCGAGCAAGUACUCACAACUCAGUAAAUCAACAAAUUCUCCCUGAAAUGGGUGGUUGCUCGGUUGGUAUGGUAGACACACCAUCAAGCAUAUCGGCUCGCCCAAGUGCAUGUUGUCAGACACGUACUCCUACUCCACUGCGUCGAGUGCACUAGGCGCCUCUUAUAAGGUUCAGCCAUGAGCCAUGACAGAACCAAGGCAGCUAGAAAAGAAGCCUGACGUUCUCUUGAGAGAGGUGGGAAACUUAGAAAAGAAGCGUGGAUGCCAUCCUUUCGUUCUCUUCUCAUCUGUUGGUGUUCGAGAUCGAUCAAUAUAACCCAAAGCCUGACGUCGCAUUCCUCUACCCACGCACCAAACCCCAUCUUGAACCAGUAACUUCAAGUCUGAGGAUGGUAGGCAUCAGGAGCGAACCUCCGGCCAUGAUUCCUGCCGCCUGUGUUGGUGGAAGCCACCCUGUUCGUCCUUUCCUCAGCAUUAGUCGAGAGAUGCCUUCGGAAUGCGGCGCGGCCGCAGGAUGCAUCCUCGGUCGAUGACUUUGGAACUCGCAUGAGUUCCUGGCGCGUCGCGAAGUCCCCAAACACAGCGAAUUCAGCAGGCAACGCAGUUUGGUCUUGUCACGGCCGUGUACUACGCCUGUUCCUUCUUCUUUUUUGAGCAUUUUGUGGUUACGGUACUUGAUUCUUUUUAGCCGGUUGUUGCAUGUUGCACAGCACAGGCUACCUUCAAGACUGCACGAUCAGCAAGUAAUAUGGAAUUGAGUUGUGUUCACUUCAUCCUUCAGAGCAAUGAUGAAAUGUGGACAACAGUUUCAAGAAAGCAGAGAGUUGCAGCGUUCUUUUCUUUACUACCCUGUAACGAUAUAUCGACACGAUAAGCUUUUAAGCGUUCCCAAAAAAACAAAACAAACAGAGCUAUGACUAAUGAAGAAACUGAACAAUGAUCGCGCCAUUUCGUUUUCAUCCACUCUGUUACACGCCAUCAGGGAAGAACGCUCCCCGCCUCAGCUUUGGACCUUUAUUUGGUACUUAGUGGCAGUGAUGAGGCCGUCUCUUUGGUUUGGUUGGCAAGCACCAAGCAGGCAAGGGUUAGCGCUUCACGAGAAACCAAUGCCGCCCUCAGCAGGUUCAGUACCUGCAAAAAAUCGAUUUUCACGUCAGUAAAUUUGUGUUGUACUAGUAAACAUGAAGUUCCAGAAAAUGUUACUCUGAUCACCUCCGGUUGCGUAAAGGUGAACUCUCUUGUCGCGAGCUCUGAUACAGAGUGGUCCUUCUUCUUCAGUUCGCUCAAGGCGUUGAUUAGCGAGAAUGGAGCUACGCCAAGUUCAUUAGUCACUAAGAACUUGCCUGGGUCCUUUGUAUAGCUAUCACCGGUCUCUGUCGUAAUGGUUGGCACCUUGGGGUUCACUGCAUGUAAUUUCGUACGGCCGUGGGAACAUUCCACUUCAGAAAUGCCGAAAGAACUGCAGUUCCUUAUGCAUGAAGAGCAGCAAGCGACAGCAUCUUGAAACCGCAGCAGCUCAUCAGUCAUGAGGAAGUGGUCGCUACAACUGAAGAAGGGGGGCAACUUAGGGGAAAGGACCAUGGCACGACAUUCAUCUGAUUUAAAGUAACCACUCAUGUUUUUCUCCAUGCUUUUGUGGAGAUUAUCAAUGCAUGAGAUUGACGAACUUCCUUAAUUCCCAAAUUAGCACACAAUGCGAACCAAAUUAGCAAAAAGAGUACAUUACCUCCUCCAAUCCAAGUUCUAAUGUCUUCUCUUCAAGCAAAGUUACAUCCUCAAUUCCCAUGUCACGUAAAAGGAACAGGAGAUUGCCCGUAUCAGCAGGCACGACUUGCAGAUUAUCUGCAGUUGCAUAGCUCAUCCCGCCUCUAACAAAAGCCCCAUCAUCUUUGGCUCCCCCGUCGCUCUUCGUCCACCGCAACAAAAGUAUACUGCCCACACGGCACAUCUGGAACUGAACUAUACUGAAACGUAUCGGCGAAGCACUCACGCUGUCUGCAGACCCAAACGUUCCUGUGGUUGGUGUCGUCAAUCCUGACAACAAGAUCCUUGUACAGAUUCCCGGCAGCGCUGAGGGGCCUAAGCAGCAUGUUUUUGCACGCCUUGGUUUGGAAGUGGCUCGCGUCAAGGCUCUCCACGCUCUUGUAUAACUCAUCGAAGCAGCCUAGGGAUGACUCCUUGCCGAGAAGCUGAACAAUGGUGCCCAGUGGUAGGGUGAGGAAGCUGAGGAGCACGUCCACGAACUCCUUGCCGGACUCUGCAAACACUACCUUUUUGUUCUUCCAGUCCACUACGAACUUUGACUCGUAUCUUUCCAUUUCCAGCAGACCCAGCUCCGGCCAUAGAUUUCUUCUGUGGGAGAAUGUUGAGAGAACCUGAAGCUUAUGGGAGGGUUGAGUGAGUUGCUAGAGGCGGAUUCAGAACCAGAGUUUGUAUUGUGGAAAUCAUGGUGCCUUCAGAAUGAUCUCUUCGGAUUCAGUGUUCCACUUUAAUUGUACUAUCUCAAAUGCAGCACCGGAGCCCCAAGGGUUGCCUAGAUGUAGGUGCUGUGACAUUUGGUCUUCUGAAUCCAAGCUGCAAUCGCAGUGCUAAUCUGAAAAGCCAAGCGAACUGUGCAUAUUCAUAUGGAAAUGCAGUUAUUACUACUAUAAUUAUGUUAUUGUCACUUACAUCUGCGAAAUAGACAAUUCUUUUGCUCGUGAACGGAAGUUCCAUCAUACUAAUCCAAACUAUAAUCAGUAUUAAACUUUUGAGGAUAAUAACAUUUAAUAAUUUAUAAAUAGAUUAAAUAUAUAUAAACAAACUUUAUACAUUAGUUUAGUAGGGGCCGCGCGAACGCGUACCCCCUCUACCACAAAUUAUGACGUCCACUCUCCUGCUUGAGGAGAUGGUAAGCCCGUGCUCCUCCCAAGUGCAAUGGAGGCCACUGACUUAGGCCAUAACCCUUCUUGAUCGGCCAUAGACCCCGUCCAGGUAAGUAUGUUUCUAAGCUGCCCCUCCCUCUUGUUUUAUGGCUCUCCCAAGUUCUUCCGCAGUUUGAUUAGACGAUGUGGUACUAUUGUAUUGUAGGAGUAUCUGCGGGUGGUUUGCUCUUGGCUAACUGCGGUCACAAUCAUAUUUGGACUCAGCACUAUCAUUGCAGACCGAACCCGGCCCACGCACGCCGAGCCAACGCGCGGCCCAUCCAAACUUUCCGACACGCGUUUUUCUGCUAGCGUUGCGACGACGGACUCGCGGUCGAAGCCCCGAGCUCCUCCUACCGGCGGCUGCCGAAUGCGCAAGGAUUGGGACACGGAGUUCUGCAGCCAGCGAGCCACUACGCCAACGCUGCAGCUACGGGGCGGGAUGCUGCACGCCCCGACAGGCCACAGCCCCCGGCUGGGGUGACGCGGGAGGCGAUCGGCGCGCACCGGACGUACACGCUGCGUGCACUUCGACUUCGCGACAGCUAACAGGACAGCAAAGACAAAACGAAGAACCGGGAGACAGUGUUACAGUGAACGGGCAAGAUUCAGAACAUGUUUCCGUGAAAUUUUCGAGAACAUGAAGUAUUUGAGUAUCACUUCUUACUUGCUUGUUAGAUUACACACCGGAUCAUGUUCACUCCCCUUUGAUGAAAAUCAUAAUCCUGUUAGAGGCAUAGAUGGGUGAUGCUUUUGGCUGUUACUGAUAGCGAGCAAGAACCAUGACUACACUGAGAAACAGGUCAGAGAUGGAUCCUACCCUAUCACAUGUACAUUAAUGACUCCCAAAAUGUAUAGAAAAGGAGGCACAUUCAACUGUUAACAAAAUGGUAUUUUGACUCCACGUAACUCUCAGCUUCCCAGAGGAAGGAUCCGAAAGCAACUGCCUCCAAGACGAGAUGAUUCAACUCUAUAAAUGUGAUUGUUAUCAUCUGACCAUCCCUUGCAUUAACAGAACCAUCGUCCAACACUUUGAUGUCCGGUCGUCCAAACAAAGACUGAGUUUGCUUCUCGAUCAGUGAGACAGCUUCCUUUGACCUGAUAGUUGCAUAUCUUUGCAAUGUAUCAGCGUCCAGUUGUGAAACAUAAGAUCUCAACUUGUUUGGAUUUGAUUCUUCAUCGUCCAAACUGAUCUCCUCCCCGUCAGGCGUAAUCUGUACUAAGGACUCCAUAUCCCAGAAUGGAUUUGGUUUCAAGUUUUCAAAUACUAUCUGCUGCUUGGGGUUUGGCGGGAGAGUCUUCAUAGUUUUCUCGAGCUGGAACCGCUCAUCCACCCUCUUAAGGAAGUAACCAUACAUGAUCGAUGCUGCAUAAAGCUUUCCAAGAUUCAAGUUGCUGAUUUCAACAACAGUGUCCAGUGGUGCUGCUAUCUUUUCUCCCAUGAUAAGGUUAAGAUGGUUUUGUAUCAUCUCAAAGGCAUCUGGGGAGUGUAUGCUUUGCAGUUUAUCCUCUUGGUUAGGCAGCGAAGAUAUGUCGCGCACAGGGCCACCACCUGGUGCUAAUGCAGGAGUCAUAGAUAUGUCAUUGUCCAUAAACUUGUAGAUAAUCCAGCAGUAGAUGAUCUCUUCUAAAGUGUUCUGCCUUUCCUUCUCUUUAACUUCUGCAAUUCUCCUGUAGUUCUUAUCAUCAGUUAGUGCAUUUUUUUAGUGUUGAUGGAUGGGAUUAUGACAAUAUUCAUUUUUACAUGCUUUUCUAUCUAUGCUAGCCACCUUUAUGUUCUAUUUUUCUUUUUUCAUUACAUAGCUAAAUUACAAUUUCUUGCAAUAAAUCAGAAAACAUUUUGUUUAAUGUUGUGAGAAUAAAAGUGUAUCAUGGGCCAUGGGGUUGCCUAAUUGAGUUUACAUCUUAGCAUAAAGUGUGAUGCACAAAACAGCAGAUGUGAUAAUUGAGUGCUUGACAGCUCAGACAAUUGCCUUAUCCAGUUUACAUCUUAGCAUAAAACGUGAUGCACAGAACAGCAGAUGUGAUAAUUGAGUGCUUGAAAGUUCAGAUAAAUUCAGGGGACGUACUUGUAGAGGAGGUCCUGAGGAACUUUUGAAGCUUCUUCCUUUUGGGCAUCUUUCUCUGAUUGCAAAUUUUCAAGUUGCUGAUCAACUGUUGCAGGCAGCAGGUGAGGGUGUGAUUGUAGUAUUUGGACCAGAAGUUGACCGCUUGGAGAUUCAAAUCUGAGUGGCGCAAGACGUGUGUAGCCAUCACCAGAUUCCGUUUUUGCUUUAAUCUUGAAGGUCCUUGUACGGUAACCAUUAAUCUGGAAUCCAGCUUUGGAACGCAUGCUACAAGGAAACCCCUGCAGAGCAACAAACCAUCAUCCACUUGACUCAGGAUAACUAAGCUUGGAACAUGAGGUGGGAUAAAUGUUGAUCCAAUGUUAUACAGCAUCAUGACAUAAACAGUGAAUUGGCACAGUAAAGCAGGACUUUAUGAACAUCCGGGUUGAGCAGAAUGAUCCAAGCAUAAGGAUAAAACGCAAUGGUCACCAUCAGAUGUCUAGGAAAAGCCUCACAUCACUUGUAGAAAAUCGACUACACAUUGGGCACAACGAAUUUCAGAAGCAAGGCAUCAGAAUUUAGUGCACAAGCAACGAAUUUUGACGAUGUAAGUACCUCUUUUUUUUUUUGGCAAUACGUUGUAAGUACCUGACAGAAACAGAAGCAUCUGCCAAUCUAUGAAAAAAGGGUUGGCAUGCUACGAGAAGCAUCAUGAACAGGUAAAAUCACAACACCAAUAUCAGCACAAAUAUGGCAGCCCAGGCCAUUUUACCAUGUUUAGACACUGUAGUGUAUAGCCCCAAGACUCGAAGAAAAGCAUGUUCGCAAAAUUGUUACAAGAGUCGAAGGCACACGAAACCUCAUGCAAUGCAACACGGGGCAGAUUGGCACUACAGUCUACACAGCAGCAGAGCAAAGAGCACCGGAUUUAAGUAAAAUCAACCAAGUUUCCACAAAUUAUGCUCCAAGACUUAUUUUGCAACCCGAUCUAGACAACAUCCAAUUCGAGCAACAACAAGCAGUUCCGACCAAAAUUUCAGUACAAACAGAAUAUGAUGUUGCAAGGAGGAAUCACACAUACAUGAACACAGCCGGUUGCUUGACUUCAGCUUGAUGCCAAUGCUACUCUAAGCGCAGCAACCAACAAGUCAGCAGCAGCACAUCUGCCGAGGAACGACACCAACACCAGCGCGAGCCAAACACGCUUGCAAUCGCUAGCACAAGCAUCAGUACGCCCGCCUCACCACCACCCGGCCCGACCCGCUACUAGCACCUCGUAUUCGUAUAUGGAGUAAGAAAUGGCCCGGAGCGCACGGGAGGUGAGGACGCACCUUGCAGAAGAGCCUGCCGGCCUCCACGGCGGCGGCGCGCGGCCUGAUGACGCCGCAUGACGAGGAGGACGAGGAGGCGGUGGCGGGGGACGGCGAGGCGAGGACGAGCGCCGCUUCGGCCCACGCCGGCAUCGCGUGGUGGGCGGGGGAGGGCAAGUGCUCAGGGGGGCUCGGGGCAGCGGAGGCCUUGGUGGGUUGGGGAGCAGCCGAGCAGGUGAGAUUCCGUCGGCUGUUUGGAUUCCUGAGAUUUUCUCCGCUGCGGACUACUGAACUGGCAACACCCUGCCUGAUCUUUUUUUUUUUAUCGGGAGCGCGUACUCCGCGGCCUCCGCCUCUGCUUGCGCCUAGCCGUCCAGGGGCGUCGGGCUUGCCUGCCGCUUGGUUCAAAUCCAAAUAUAUAUUAUCUAAUUUUAAUUUUUCUUAUUUUCAUGCAUAUUCAAUGGGUAAUUAAUUUUAUAAUAGAUAAUAUGGGUAUGUAAUGGAUAAAUUGUGACCUUUCCAUACACUACCCUUUCCAUUUCCAAUGAAUAUAUAUAUUUUUAAUCGUACCUUCCUAUUUUAGGUAGGUGUGGAUUUAGAUAUGAAUUAUUAAUACCUUAGCCACAGGACUAGUCGGGCUGCCACCUGCGACGCCGAUGCGCGACUCGUGAGCCAGCCAGCCGUUGUGCCGUGAGCGUGCGGAGCAGUGGCGCACUACAGGAAAGUUGCGACGAUGACACGUCACACGAGACAAGCUUGCGUGAUUGCGUCUUUCGGUUGGGCUGGCCUGCCGCAUGGCGCUCCGAGUGCAUCGUGUUCAUUCGGUUGGCCUGCUAUAGCAAUCUGCAGGUUUUUCGUGUUCAUGGGCGUCCAUUGCAAGUAGGAAAACACAACAGACAUUAAAACCACAGAAUUAGAAUAUGAUCAGUCGUGCCAGAGAAACGAAACUCAACAAGAAAUCAUGGUUUCUUUACGCAAACUAUGGCCAUGCUAUCAGAAAGUAGGCAUUUACAAAUAAAGAAAGAGAGGCAGCUUAUGCUCGAGGAUUCUGGGAUUCUCCUACUGAGUUCAGUUGAUUGUGUGGGUAUACAGCCACAAAACGCCGUGGCACUGACAACACUGCGAAAGCUACAGCACAAGACCUGAUUACAUCAUUUCCCCUUAGCUCAGGGAGGUCACAAACACCAAAACCGUCCAGUAAAAAGGUCACAAUAUAAUAACUGAAAGGGGCGGCGAAACAAAAUCCAUCCACACGUCCUGCAACAGCCAAGGGCAUCCCAAUUCUCAAAAGAUAGGAGUAAACUCCAUGGGGCCAUAAGCUUGUGUGGGUUCUGAACAUUAACACCGUGGCGCCCAGAUAUGUCCGGGCCUCAGUCAAAUGUUGGCGACAAGCACUCCUCCACCAUGUCCAGUAGGUUUGGGUUUUCCAAUGCAGCCGCGACACGUUCCUUAUCGUUCAGUUGCUUAUUCACUGCAACAAAGAACAGAUUUAUACACUGAGAUAUUGAGAUGGUAACACAGAAGCUUAUUCACUGCGACACAUUCUUUGUCAUUCAGUUGCUUAUUCUCAAAAUACUGUAAUGCAGAAGCUGAAGAACAUAUACCAGCAGCUUCAGUUGAAUGUGAUCCAGGGGCUACCCUUAUGUCCACCUACAAAAAUUAGAUUAAAAAACAUCUAAAUCAUCUCAUCAAAUUACAAAUUAUAGAUAGCAAACAGCAAUAUGCACCAAAAAAGGAGCAAUUUCCCUACUAUGUUGACUAGGAAAAAAACUAAGUUUCCUCAUCCGUACAUCAGAUAUGUACAUGAGCUGGUAAAUAGUCUACUUGACUACAGAGUGUACAACAGGCAUGUACAUGAGCUAUACAAAUUAUAUAACAAUUUUAUCAGUGACCAAAUUUUAUGUCCAACAAAGUUAUAAGGGCAUGCAGAAUGGUGGACAUUUCAGGAACAUGUGCCACAUCUGAAAACGCACCAAGCAACAGUACUAAUCCUUUCUGACAAAAUACUACAUUUAUUCACACAUUACUAGGAGGAUCAAUGGGAUGACUGGUGUCUCCUGAUGGUGGGCGUGAAGAUAUGAUGGUCAACAAGAUGUGCUAAUAGUAGCUCCCAGCUGCUGCCAGGGCACCAAGGGCAAGAGGAAAGUGAGCUGCACUGGCAGAAGGGUUUUGAGUAGGGUGAGGUAGUGGAUAAUCUGAUAGGAAUUGACUGGUUUGGAGGUAACCAAAUCUGGUAGUGAACACGGAGGGGAGCUCCUCAGGUUGGUGUUUAGCUACUUUUUUAAUGAAGUUAAGUCAUGUAACGAUGAAAAGAGUAUGGUAGUGUGAGCCCCAGCUUGGACCAAAUCUGCUGUAAAACAGAAUUGAAGCAUGAUGAUCCCUGUCGCAGUGCAUAAAGGCUGGGGAAUCUUUUCCCUGGAACUCGAAAAAACUCACAGAUUACUAGAACUUGAUAAACAGGAGUACAGGACAUAAUGUCAGCAUAUCAAAACCUGAUUGCUCUCGCAAAUAAUCGUAACAUUAAUUCUUUGCCACAAUCCCUACACUGAUAUCAUACCUUGUAACGAGGAGGGAGACUCCGUAUGAGUUUUACGCGGAUGCAAAGGCCUAUAACAGUUGCCAUGCUGCAGUGCUCCACUGUUGGGGUGAAAGUAACCCUGAUGCAAAGCAUAUACAAGUCCUCAAGAGUGAGUUUCAUUAGCAAUCCUGAAUUGUAACAUCCAAAUCAACAAACCUUAUGAGAACCUACCUGACAUGAUUACUUUCAUCAUUGAGUUCAAUUGAGUCUUCAGUUACCACAUUAAGCUGUUCCAAUGAGUAUGGGUGCUCUGGAUCCUUUAUAUCUCUAAUGUGAUGUAAGAAUGUUAAGGACCACAACAAAACGUCUAGAAUAUAAAACUUCAGAUACAUGGUAUAAAAGAAAAAUAAGGUUCACUACAUUCAUAUUAGGGAAAUCAUAAAGAAGGAUAUCAAAUAUUUCCAGCUGGUCUAUAGGCUCUACUGCAUUUUCAUCUGUGGUCUCCGGUGCUUGUCGUACACGCCUCUCUUUCUUCUCAUGAAUUACAGGGUUAGCAUUUAUCAACCCCAUAACCAUUUCCACGAAGCACAAUGCACUAACUUUAGAUAAGACAAAUCCUGCAAAGUCAAAAGGUAUGAAAAUGUUUUACGAACAUUAUAUGUUAUUUAAAUUGCACAGACUAGUUAAAUCUCACAAAACUGCCCAUUGAUAACUCAGUUUUCGAAAUAGGAAACAACAGCCUAGUUGUACUUAGAUACUUGCAGAAAAUGUUUAUUUCGCAGACUGCACUUUGAAUUUUGAACUCAUCCAUUUGUAGUAGCCAUGCAAAAUAAUGGUUUGUUUUCUGAUUGCUAAUGCAAACUAGCCCCUUGGAAGAUAUAGUUACAAACUUACAAUCAAAUAUCCCCCCCUUGCUGAACACUAGGAAUUCAUUUAGUUCAUGAAACUUAAACAAAACAAAGCCUAGCAAAUUUGAUCUAGAAAUCACCCUAGCCAGUCUAGUUGAAUCCCAACAGUGGUACCUCUAAACACCAGCCGCCCAGGUCAAUCCUAUACAGCUAAUAACCAGCCAAACGCCACCCAACAAAGUACCACAGGGUGACAGGGAACAGGGGGCUUGAACCCAGCCACCAAAUUCCACCCUUGCUUGGCCCCCUCUGCGAGGAAAUCUCUGAUUAUCUUCCUUCAAAAACCCAACCAAUCACAAUUCCCCAACAACAGUAUCCUAAUCGGUGUCACCCAACGAAAAUGCAUAGAUAACAGAGCAACCAAACGACUUGCCCAAACAGGGGAAGCCGCCGCGAAAGGGGGUCACGACAGGGAUAGAAGCUCACCAGCAGAUGGCGGCGGCGGCGGCCGGAGAAGGCGGUGCGCUUGGCGUGGUUCGGUCGCCGGUUUGGUCUCCUUUGCGGCUCAGCUCGCGUCGGGGAAGACAACUGGGUGUUUUGUGUUGGACGCGUUUCAUUCCAACUUUGCUUCCGCUUAUGUGGACCUUCAUGGGCCGUUUGGGCCGCCUCGCCAGAUAGACCAAGAUGGAUGGAGUCCGGUGAGGUGAGCAGAUCGAUCGAUCGUUCUUCCAGUUCAGUGCUCGUCUUCUUGGCCGGGAAGAAAGAAAGAGGGAAGUGGAGGGGUGUGGGAUUGGCUGGCGAUGGCGGCGGCGCUGGAGUUCCUGGAGGCGCAGGGCGCUACGCGGCCGGAGCUCGCGGAGUGGUACGCAGCGCUCGCCGACCUGUACCAACGGAAGCUGUGGCACCAGCUCACCCUCAAGCUCGACCAGUUCCUCGGCCUCGCCGUCGUCCAGGUCCGUCACUUGAUUGAUUCCGCCGAUGACGAUCUCUCGUUUUGUUGCCCUCAUGGUUGUUACGCGGCGUGAGGUUUGAUCUGAUUAGGGUUAAAUGAGGCGUCCUUUUUGGGUAAUUAACUUUUAAUUUUAGUAUGAUGCUGGGCGCUGGCUGCAGCUCGUGCAGUAGAAUUGUUAUGAUCUCGCAUGGGUGAGAUGAGUUCAUCCCCCUUGGCGUUGUGGAAUUGUUGAAAGAGCAACUAUUUGCAGAACUAUCUAGUUUAUAUUGGUGUACUCCUAGUUUGGUGCCGAAAUGUGUCUUUUGUUGUUUUUAUAGUUCACUGCAUGUAAAAUUGCUAUGAUUGUUUAUUACAGCUACUUCAUCUCGCAGGUAUAAACAGGCAUAGUUGUGCUGGGAUACAUCUUGAUCUCUUUCAGUUUAAUAAAUCAUAUAAGCACUCUAAAUGUAGAUACUGUUGUUUGUGCUCAAAAUUUUGGUUGCUAACUCUAGUAAUCGAUCGCAACUCUGACCCUUUUGUGUUUGUUUUGUAAACUAGCUUGCUCGUGUUGGUAGAACAUUGUAGUUCAUUGGGUUGAAUUGUUAAUACAUACUAUGCAAUAUGGAAUAGGAAUAAGUCCAUAUUUGUAGCCUGAUUAAUCAAGGGUUUACUAAUGUGCAGUUUUUUACUCCAAAACACCUGCAUAUUUGGUUUAGUAUUUAACCAUUGUCACUUAACACAUUGCAUCAUGGCUACUAUAUCUAUGCUCUGAAAUCACACAGUACUCUUAUUGCAUGUAAAUUCAUUCUGAUUCCCAAAUACUUCCAAACCUUUUUCAUCAACAGUCUGGUUGCCCUUGUACUAUGUAUAUGCUCUUUGUCCUUACCACUGUUCUGAUUACCCUUACGUUUUCUUCCUUUCCAUUCAGGCGGGAGAUGCCCUGAUUCAGCUGUAUAAUCAUUUCAUCUCAGAUUUUGAGACCAAGAUCAAUCUUCUGAAAUUUGCUCACUUCACAGUGGUAGUUUCACGCCAGUAUCUGGACAAAGAUGCUGGUAUAAACUAUCUUGAAGGUGCAAUUUCAAAGCUGCAUGAUACCCGGGAAGCACGGGUUGAAGAGCCCAUUCUGUAUGUGAAGAUGCAGAUUGCAACGUUUCUUCUUGAGAAGGGGAAUCAAAAGGGGUGUAAGAAACUGCUAGAAGAGGGUAAAACAACUUUGGAUAGCAUGGUUGAUGUUGAUCCUUCGGUACAUGGUACCUAUUACUGGGUGUCUUCUCAGUAUCACAAGGCCCAUCAAGAUUACUGUGAAUUCUACAAGAGCGCUCUUCUUUAUCUUGCAUAUACAACAGUGGAGUCACUUUCAGAACCAUUCAAACAGGUGCCUGCUUAUAUUUUGAUACCACAAGAUUGGGUUUAUUUUUACAGUUUCUGAUUUGCUUUCUGUGAGUUUCAGAACCUGGCAUUCGACCUCUCACUUGCUGCUUUACUGGGUGAAAACAUUUACAACUUCGGGGAGCUGCUUGCCCAUCCAAUCGUAAGUACAAAUUUUGCACCUGAUUGUUCUCCCUAUUUUCUUUAGCAUACACUACUAUACAGGUUUUAAAUAGCAUUGUCUAGGAAUUAUAAUGCUUUUGUCUAUACAUAAAAGGAGAUUGUAGAUUGCCAAUGGUAUAAUCAAAUGCGCAAUGGGUUUUCUUAUAUAUGGAGGGAUGAAUCAUUGGCUUCACUUAACAGGAAAACACAGCCUGAUAAAUGAACUUUGCUGUAUUCAUAAAGCAAACUCAUUACCAUAUACUUAGCAGCUUGCAUAAUUUAAUUUCUCCUCCCUACACUGCAAAGCUAAACUGGUGUCAUAAAUUCUGGUGUCGCUUUGCUGAGUUUGUCAAUUAAUUUUUGACAUCAUGUAGAUCCAUAGCCUUUUGGGGACUCAGGCUGAGUGGAUUUUUCAUAUGCUGCAAGCAUUCAACUCUGGUAAUAUAGCACUGUAUCAAGAACUCUGCAAAACUCACAAUGGUGCUUUGAGCGCACAGCCUGCAUUGGUACAAAAUGAGAGGAAACUUCUUGAAAAGAUCAACAUACUUUGCUUGAUGGAAAUCAUUUUCAGGUAUUUCUCGUGGGGAGAAAUGAUUGAUGUCUGGCAUCUGGUGCAUCAUGAGCUAAGCUUUGUCACUAACAGCUUCAUGUAUCUGCAGUCGAUCAUCUGAAAACCGCACGAUCCCAUUGAGCGAUAUAGCAGAACGGACCAGGCUCUCGGUUGAAGAUGUGGAGUAUCUACUGAUGAAGAGCCUCUCUGUAAGUCCUGCCCUUCAGAAACCACCAUUGGUCGUAGUCUUAUGACAUUGUUGUUUUCUUCAGGCUCGUCUUAUAGAAGGCAUAAUUGAUCAAGUUGAUGGAACCGUCCAUGUUUCAUGGGUUCAACCGAGGGUCUUGGGCAUAGACCAAGUGAACUCCCUGCGUGACCGUUUGGAUACCUGGGUUGGGAAGGUGCAUACGACCUUGCUUUCGGUUGAAGCCGAGACGCCAGACUUGCUAUCUUCGUGAUGUUCCUCCCGCUCGAAGGAUUGCUGUGGCAUUUCCUGAUGUGAAGACCUUAUCUGUUCUUGGAUUGCAGUUUCUUCAGUGACGAUUGUUGUAACCUUGCUGCUUCAAGCAGCUAAGUAGUAGAGAUUCUUGUGCAACUGUUGUUUCGCAGAAUGCUUUGUCUGAUUCUCAGCCCGAGGUUGCAUCGUAGAUGGCAGGGUCUAUUUUACUCGUCGAAAAAUUAUUAUCUCCCGCUUCUUGCCACCUCCGUCCACUGUUGCUAUUGGAGCAGCAUAGAUGAUAGACCCUUCUUGCAACCUUGAUACCGAAAUAAGUAGAUAACUCAGCUGCCAAAGGCUAAUCCCAGUGGGAGUUUCAUAGAGGUUUCAUGCACAUUAAAUACGGUGACACAUCAGCAUAUACGAUGACAUGGUAUGGUAGUUAUAAAGUGAGAGAUGGAAGGAGUUUCAUCAGGAUGAAACUGUGUAUACACUGUUUCCAAGACUAUGAAACCUAUUGAAACUUGCAUUGGAGGCUAUAGAGUUUCAUUUCAUCUAACCAUAUCCAAUUACAUAUCUCACAAUUAAAUGUCAUGGGCAUCCUAUGAAAUCGUGAAAUGAAAUUGUGCACUGAGACUCCCUGUUUCAUUCAUGAGAAUACACCUCAUGGGAUGAUGUGGCAUCCUUGGAAACAGUGCAAUGAAACCUUGCACUGUGACUCUCUCAGUAGUCUAGCGAAAACACUUCAUGCUCGGCGAAAACACUGUCGCGCCGAACCUCAUCUCUGCCUCGCUUGACUCUACCACCUGGCGAGACCGUUGAAUCCCUCGCCCCUCGACAUUGUCCUACCGCGCACGGCCGCUGCGCUGCCGGAGCAGCUUGCCGCUGCCCGCCGCCGCCUAACAGUCCACGAACCCGGCAGGCACGACGAACGAGAAAAUGAACAGACCCAGGAGCGCUGCAGUUCAAGCCUUCAAGCUUCGACCAUGGUUGAGGAACAGAGGAAGAGAAGGGUAAACAAGGAGGCUUGCAGAGUUGAAUGCUUGCAGCAUAUGAAAAAUCCAACCGUUGGAUCAAGUUGUGAGUCAAAACGGUUUGGCCCGCCGGACUAUAUGGGCCAACUUGUUUGCGGUGCGGAUAUUGGUAUGGGCCGGUGCAACCGUUUUCUCUUGUCGCCUUUUUUUAUUAUUUUUGCUUGUGUUCUCUUAUGAUGACAUGAUUCUCAGGCCAUCUCGAACUAGAAUCGAGAAUUCAAUUCUCAAACUUGUGCCAUAUACGUAUCAGUAUUGUGUAUUAUUAAAAAAACAUACUAUCAAUGCGGUGAAAAAAUAUGGUACAGUGAGUUUGUCGAUAAUAAAAAAGAAAGUAUAUGAAAUCACUACAAUUUUUUUUUAAAAAAAACAAAAGAACAGUACAAUUAAAUCUUUUUAAAUAAUUCAUAAAAUGUGAGCACUCAUAUAGAGUUGAGAACUCAAACCUUGUUGACAAGUUUGAUCGCAAGAAAUCUAACCAACUGAACUACAUGCAAUUUGUAAAAUCAGUAUAUUUAUUUCUCCGGGAGAACUCCAAGCGUGCAUUCGGUCAUUUAUCUACAUAAAACACAAGAUUAUACUUUGAGGGCUAUAAAUAAAAAAUUAACGCAUAUCAGGAGUGAGAGCUCUUCUAUGAGCUCUCAAUAUUCAAGAGAAACAAGGAGAAGAAUUUCAACUAAUUAUUUGAUAGUCACAGUAUAAUAUAUACACUAAUCAGAUUUGGCGCUGCGGCAGCUGUGGGAGGAGGGGCUUUCCAGGCGAAAGUCUUGCUCGGCCUCGUGCCGUGCCGGCAACAACGACAUUCAACGAAUGUCGUGUUCCUCCUUAGGGGUGUUGUUGGGGUGCCCUUCUCUCCUUGACGGGAUUCUUUGGGUGAAAACCAUACAUGAGUUCUCAGGCGGGCGAUGGCGGCGCCUUCGACGUCGUUUUUUUUCUUGAAAGCGUUGUCUUUGGAGAUCCUGUUCCAGCCUUCUUCUCGGUGGUUCACCAUCGGCUUUGUGGUGCUCUUAGCUGUCAAGAUGGUGGGGUUCUGCGUGGGGACGAGUGGAUCUCUCUUCUCUCUCGCCCUCACCCCCGCAACCUUUGCCUGUGCUGACGUCCGAGGGUCUGCACGUUUCGAUGGACUGCUACCUGGUUGGCCUAGCGUUUGCAACUCCACGUUCGCCUAGCGGCGACCAGCCAUGCAUUGCGGUGGACGGCUCGGUGCUAGGUUCUUUCUCUUGGUGGAUCGUCUGUUGUCAUCGGCGCAUGGUGUUCCCAUCCUUCCGGUCGAGUUCUUCAUCCAAUCAGGCCGCUGCGAGUUGAGUGGGACAAUACUUUGUGUAGUGUGUGUUGAUAUCCCAAUCCAACCAGUCAGGUAUUGCUGUUGAGUGGUGCGUCGUGUUGAUGUCCCAAUCCAACCGGCUGAGAUUGUUGCCUGAGUAGAGUGGUGUGGUCAUGUUGACUAUAGUUGUCCAUUCGGACCGCCCGGCCCGGUCCGGCACAGGCCUAGCAAGGCCCAUUAUUUUUCAUGUCGGGCCUGGCCCGACGGGCCAUGUCGUGCUGUGUUGUGUCGGCCCACAGGCCGCAUCGGCGGCCUAAGCAUGGGUCCGCAAGGCCUUUUUCGUGCCAGGCCGGCCCGUAAAGCAUGGCUAGCUUCGGGCCACCACGAGGCAAGGCGGGCCCUCACGACCUGUUUCUUGUGAUGUGCGCCACUGCAGGCUGCAGCUGAGUUGUUGUCUCCUCCUGCGCGCCGCCACCGUCGCCCCCCUCGCUGCCACUGCUGCCGGGCCCCUCGCGUCGCCGGCCUCUCGCGCCGCUACUGCCGCUUCCCGCAGCCAGUCCCCAGCCUCCCGCACCGCCGCUGUCGACGCCGCUCCCCGCGGCAAGCCCCGUGCCGUCGCGGAGAAGGGCACAGCGACAAGCGGUGGGGGUAGGGGGCGACAUGGUCGGGGAGGCAGCCGCCGGAGGCCAGAAGGGAGGCGGAGGUUGGAGAGGAAGAGGAGUGGACGGGGUGUUUGAGCGGAAGGGGAGGAUGGCAGGGAGCUUGGCAGGGAGUGGACCGUGGGUGAGAUGGUGUAUUGGUGUGGAUAAGGUUGAAUGGUUAACGGGCCAUUUCGGGCUGCCACCCUAAAAUUGUGCUGGGUUGGGCCGCCCAUCGUGCCGGGGUGGCGCCUCACGCCCGGCAUGAGCUACCAGGCCAGGCUAGCACGGGCCCAAAGAACUUCGUGCCGGGCUGGGCUAGGUUCGAGCAAAAAAGGCUCCGUGCUGGGCUAACGGGCCGCGGGCUGCAUGAACAUCUAUAGUAUUGACGUUGUAAUCCAACCGAUCGAGUUUAAUUGUUUUUUCUUAGCCUUUCUUUUAUUUUCCUAUUUUCCUGACUAUGAUCUUUCAAGGUUGUAGUCUUAUAUUUUUUCUGCUAUAUCAAUAGAAACUCGCACUAAAAAAAUAAUCAGAUUCGGAAUUCUUUAUGCAAUGACGUGCAGCUGCUGAGCAGCAUCUCGUGUUCAUGCAACUGCUUCCUCGUGCAACAUCUCCUAUACAAACACACUAUAAAAGCAACAUAAUAAUCCAACACUAGGGUUACAAGAUAAAGCAACCGGGAUGUGUGCUCGGUGCUUGCUCUCCUCCGAUCAACAUCGGCUCCAUCAGACGUCAGACCCUGAGGGGAUCGGUCGUGACGUCGGCCCUCUCGGCGGCGAUCUGCUCGUAGAGGUCCCUGACCUUGAGCCCAACGAUGGUCUGGAAGAGCCCCGUUCCGUUGCUGCUGCCCGGGAGGUCGGCGUGCUUGAGCAUCUGCUGCGCCACCUCCCCGUAGAACUUGGUGGACAGGUUGCUCAGGUGGGUCUCCACGUAGAUGAGCUCGUCCAGCUUGUCGAACUGCCCGUCCAUCUCCAGCACGGACACCUCGUGUCCGAAGUAGGUGCCGAAGCCGUAGGCGAACUUGAUGCCGGGGUACGAGCAGGAGAGCUUCCGGCCGCAGGGGAUCCAGGUUACGACGGACCCUUCGUCGAAGAGGUACACCGGGGCGAAGUGCCUCACGCCUUCCUUCAUGAUCAGCCUCACGCGCAGCACCUUGCCCUCCUCGUCGUUCGGGAUCAGCUGCGUCGGCAGGACCUCGAUCACGGCGUCCGCGUACUGCUUCUGCGGGUCUGCACCAGGGAAUGAAGAGACAAGUAUAGAUUGCUCAGCUCUGCAGGGUGGUCUGUGAUUUUUUAUAUAAGGGGUGAUCUGUGAUUGGUAAUGGAAUUCAGCAUCAUGCAAGGAGGCUGGCUUUACCAAUGUAGGCGUCAAAGUCCGGCUUCCUGGCAUCGAUGCUCGCCUUGAUGCUCUCUAGGCUGUGCCCGCGCUCUGCCAUGUCCCUCUGCAGAAAGGAAGCUUAAAAUGUUAGUGAGAUCAAGGCAGAAGAACUACGAGUCAGCAAUCUUGUUACACAGCUGACCUGGAUUUUCCAUGCAAACUUGACCUCUUCGCUGAUGUCCAGGUAGAUGCUGAAGUCUAGCAGGUCCCUCACGCGCUCAUCGUACCUGAAGUAAGCAGCAACAGAUCGAUCAUUAUUGAGCUUGAGCAACGAAUUGUAUUGCAGUCAAAACUCAAAUUCGACGAAACAAAACGAAGCAAGAGGAGCAGUCACAUUGGGUGCAGGCCCUCGAUGACGAGGAUCUUGGGCGGCGCGAUGCGCUCGGGCGGGUCGAGGAGGCCGGUGACGUGGUUGUAGACGGGCUUGUCGACGGCGCGGCCCUCCUUGAUGGCCCUCACCUGCUCGUACAUGAGGUCGAAGUCGUUGGCUCUCGGGUCCAGCGCCGUCAGGCCCCGCGCCUUCCGCUCAGCGCGGUCCAGCGAGUGGUAGUCGUCCAGGCAGAUCACCGUGGCGGUGCCGCCGACGAGCGUGUUGGAGUCCGGGUUCCCGCCGCUCGGCGGCUCCGCGCCGCCGCCGAGCACGCUCGUCAGCCGCCGCACGAACGUGCUCUUCCCGCACCCGGAGUCGGCCGCCAGCCCGAUCACCACCGUCUUGCCCGCCGCCGCCGCGGCCGAGCACGACACGCGGGAGGGGAAGUGGCCCCGCCUCCUGCUUCGGAGAAGGAUGGACGUGCCCGCCGGCGAGUAUCGCGUGGUGGCGGCGCCGCUCGUGUGCGCCAUGAAGGCGUCCAUGGAUCAGCCGACGACGCCAAGAGACACACCAAUGACCUUCGGUUGCCACUAGGACGACCAGCAGCACGAUGAAAGCUGCGAGGAGAACUAGCUUUCGGAGGUGGUGACUGCGUGGUGACACGGUGACAGAUGAAAGGCGAGGUAAGCUUGUAGCGAGCUCAGCUCCGAUCAGCAACGAGAUCUCGGCUCCAGUUUGAAUCAGCUUGUGGCUGUGUGAUUUGUCUCUGCUGUCUUCACCAGGACAGUGAAAAUCCUUCCUCUGCUGCUCUGUGUGUUGUCCAUGGUGGUGCUGUUGCGGCUUGCGAGUUGCGACGGCCAUGAAAAAGCGUGGUGGUGGUUUUGUAGAAGAAGAUAUGGUGGGCCCCGCGUGGUUUACGUGGUGCCAGGAGGCACGCCUGUUGCGGAUGAGAACCAGUGACCGGAAACGGAAGGGCCGGAGGCCGGACACAUGGUGCUUCGAUGCUGACAUGGUAACACAUUCAACACAGGACACAAGUUUUAACAUUUGCUUCAAGUACAUGCUACUUUUUCCCUGAUGUCAUGAUAUGAAAGGUGCUUAGUUAAAAGAAAAGGUAAAGUGCUUAUAGUUACCCCCACACAGCCACAGCCCACAGCAUGACAAAAAAAUGUCACUGCCUGUGGGUAAUCAAUUCUUGGGAUCGCAGGCUAUGAAUAUACUGUAGUCAAAGAUGGCCAAGAUAAAUACUCGAGUCGACAAAUUUGAUUUUCAACAAUAGCUGUUUGGAAUGGACUACAGAAAUUCGUACGUCUUGCACCAGCAGGACAACUGCUUGCGCAACAAGAGGAAGCCCAAGGUAUCCGACCGGCAAAACCGAACCACAGGGUCACAAUCGCUUGCCCUGCGAGGCGAGAAGUAUUGACGAUGUUUUCUUCCGCUGAACACAUGCACAAGUCAACGAAGAACCAUGAAGCCUCGGAGUACAUGGGAAAUGGUGAGACAGACAAGCGGUUUUCGCGGGCCGACAACCAUGGUAACAACAUUAAACAAACCAUGUUAACACAUUCAACAAACCAUGGUAACAACAUUAAACAAACCAUGUUAACACAUUCAACAAACCAUGGUAACAACAUUCAACAAACCAUGGUAACAACAUUCAACAAGGGAAAACUGUUGCUGUUCGGGCAGAAAACUUUGCUAUACCGUACAUACAAGAGAAAUUUGCUCCGACUAGGAAAAAAUCAAUAUAAAGCGGCAAGCACAGUAGCAUAUAAGAAUUCAGUUCAGACACCAUAUGGCGGUUGCUCUUCUGCAUUUCAAGAAUAAUAUAAUACUGCGUGCCAUAACGGUCGCCGACAUGCCAAACUUAAGACUAAACUAACCAGAUAAAACAUGGGCAUAGCUAAUGAAGAAAUAAAACACCCCGUUCCGCAAGCAAACCUAUAAUGACAGUGCUACCAUCCUAAACCAUACCAGCUUAAAAAAGCACCACCACUGACAUAUGAAACGAUAGACUCAAGGUGUGCUGACAGGUAUGCACAAAACCACACGAAAAGGUGCUGCUAGCAUUCAUAAGUAAUUCUCCAUCACAUUUUCCCACAAAUGUAGUUUUCCACUAUGGCUGGCCUCACUUGUUCCCUCUGAAGUACAUGUACACUCUCUGCAUAACACAAACAAUAGAAUAUUUAGCAUUAGCAUUGUGUAUAACAUGUAGUAAUGAAAACAAAAGGCAAUUAAACAUCUUGCCAUUCACAAUUUAGCUUCCGAUGCAAAAAAACUCUUAGGUUAAUUUAUAUAGCUUCUAUGCAGUGGAGGGGGGCAACAAAGAAUGGAGGGUGAAUAACACCAGGGAGAGGAUGCCAAUUUUAGGCUUAGCUAGCAAUUAUACCUAAUAUCUACUAACUUCAUCAAGAGAUUGCAAAAUUUCAGAGAGAGGGGGGGGGGGGGUGCGCAUGACCCCUGCUGGCCAUCACUAAGCUCCGCCAGUGCUUCUAUGCUAAGCACCUAUAGCUCAAAAAUAGGUAAUUGCUCAUCCAUGACAUUAACUACCAAAACAAGAAUAGCACGGCACAUCAGAAGAAACUGUUUACCAUUCAGAUAUUAACAACUCCGUAACAACAGCAUGUGUUUCUCGAUUAAGUGCUAUUGUGAAACUAUAAGGGGUAAAUAAAAUAUCCUUUCCUAAUUUAUAACAAAAUUACUCUACUCAACUGUGCAGAUACAGAUAUAUAACAUAAUUCAUUAAGACUUGUUACAAUAUUCAUUAAGUUAUUGUGUGAAAUAAAAGCUUGAACGGUUUAACAUGCUGUGAACAAUGGACUGACUAGUAUGCACGCAUCAAGGGGAAACACAGGAAUGUACGAGAAUGUUGGUUGCUGAGAAUAGGGUUUUAUUUUAGACCUGAAGAACUGCAAUGCUCAGCAGUGUCUCCAAACAGAACAGCCCAAACCCCACAAAGUAGAAGAUCUGCAAGAGCAAAACAUUCAUUCUUAAUGCCCCGUAGCAUCUGGAAGUUCCCUUCAGAAAACCGGACACGUUCAUAAAAUAAUGCCCAGCAUUCACAGGCUGGAGCUGUAAACAGAAGUUCAGCUUACCCCAAUUACGAUAUGCUCAGAGAAGGUGUCGAUCGCAGCCAGUAUACCACUGAAAAGAAACAGAAAAGGUUUUGCAUUGGAUGAAGCAGAACAUUUCCAAAAGCAGGGAGAAGAAAAAAAAUUCAAACCAUGGAGGAGCUCAGCUUAACAUUUUCAAAAGAUAUCCACUAUAUAGUAAAUUAAGAGUAGAUUUGCUGGUCCAAUAAAACGGAAAAUGAUAGAUAGGUUCACCAGGAUACUAACAUUCAACUGGUACAUUGUCAAACAUUUCUUUUCAAAGAGAAUGAAUGAAGUCAGCCUAUUUCAUAUCUUUCAGAUGAAGAUGGAGACAUCCAAUUUAAAAAUUUUAGGGUUGUAUAUUUUACACGGGAAAUUCCAAGAUUAUGGAGCCGCCAACAAGAAUACCACUGUAGACUGAUGCGGCGGAAAUUAACUAUAACAAUGACUGGUAACUGUAGAUACAGCAGAGGGAACUUACGUUAAUGAUUUCCCAUGGAAUACAAUGGGUGGAGCAAUGGCAGCAAUUAUGCAGAAACCAAUGUGUAUCUGCACCAAGUAUCAUCGAAAAAACGAUGAUAUGACAUGUGUGACAAGUGAUAACUCUUGCAGCAGUUCAAUUGAAAUGUCAAUGAUGCAAAAAAAAAAGUAUCCAGCUAGAUCUUACCAGAUAACAGAGGAAAAACCAUCCGAAACUGAAAGCACUGUUAGUCCUGUUUAAUAAGAAUUUAAAAAGACAACGUGUCAAACACACAAGGGCCAUAGUUCCAGAAAUAUAUAUCAUAUCUGCAUCCAAGUGCUGUUUUAAGCACCUAGGGAAUUUGCAGCCAUAUCUACAAGCAGUGUCUUAAGUAUAAUUGGGAUAAAUAUACGCAUUCCUCAGCCUCACUCAUGGAUAUACCUAAAAUGAAAACAGUGACUAUUGUAUGGGGGUGUGCAUAGACUAUUCAUGCAAAGUAGUUGCUUUGAAAAAUGCAGGUGGAAAGCACUAAAACGGAUGUAAAUGCAUGUGUAAAAAUGCAUUGCUUUGUAAAAUCCAUCCAUAGUGAUGAGUGGUGAGAAUGGUAGUACCAUACCUCAUUGCACGAUAGAGGGGCCUAUACCAUAUCAAAUAUGACAGGGGAAUUCCAAGCAAAGCAUAGAUAGUUGCAAGGAAAAACAGCUUUGAAUCUGCAAGGACAGUAGGUACCAGCUAUUAAGUGCAGCCAUGAAGGGCCAGUAUAAAGUGAACACAAGCAAUAAAAGAGAACCAUGAUACGUACCUCCCUCCUUGAUCCAGCAGACUAUGACAGCAAUGAAAUUCCAAGAGAGGCAAAGCACAAUUCCUGCAAUUUACAUUAAUCCAAAACAAAUGCUAUCAUGAGCAACCAAUGCUGGAGUCUUUGUAACACACCAUAUCUACUAUCGCAGUAGCAUGAUUCUGCCCUCUACCUAGAUAAAAAAAACAAUUUACUACUUUUAUUAAAUCACUGAUGCCACAAAAUGUUCCUCGCAAACAUACCAAGCCAGCUUGCGAAUGCAAGAUACUGCAACCUCUGCACAUUAGCCGGUAUCUCAUUGGCAAUGUCAUGGUGGAUGAGCGGGAAGAAUGGCGGCCAGUUCUUCUCCUCCAUGGGCACUCCGGCUGCAUCAAGCAGAAGGAAAGCGCAGAUGAUCAAACUCUAUUUAACACAACUGGUAACUCGAAAUCCUGACAGCAGCAACCAAACUAUUAUGCUACGCACCAUUCUUCAGCGACUCCUCCCUCCUCUUGAUAUCCUACAGCCACAAAACAAUCACCAUGAGACACCACCGAGUCAAACAGAAGCUAAAACCUCAGAAGUGGAAAUGGAGGGUAAAACCCCACCGCCUCACGCCGCUUCAGAUCUGAUUCCCACGACGAGAGCUCCCUCGCCUUGCCCUUGGAGUCCUGCAUUGCGCGCCCAUACCGCCCCCGGAACACUCGGAUUAGCACGCGAAUAACCACCGAGGGAAAAGGGGGGAGCAGCCGAAUGAACGAAAUGCCUUACCCCCAUGGUGUCGAGCGGGACGUCGACGACGGCGUCGCCCCUGCCGGCCCCCCCGAAGCCGAUGGGCUCGGUCGGCCGGAACCCGUACUGCUGCUUGCCGCCUCCGCCUCCUCCAUUCUACCACGCAAACAGCGAGGUUCCACAGUUACACACCCAAAGCCUCCAGAUCUACCAAAGCACCCAGCAAAAAUCUCUGAGGAAGAGAGGGAGGGUUUUUGGCUCACCGAGUAGGGGUUGUCAUCGGCGGCGCCCUCGUCGAAGGGGUUGGGGUCGUGAUGCAUGCUCGCUGUCGCCUCCGCGCUCGGCUUGCGGGCGAGAGGUGAGCGGAGGGGGGAAGCGGCGCGGCGGGGGGCUCUCGGUGCGGUGGUUUGGACUCGGGUCGCUUCCAAUUCAAGCAGUUUCUCCGCCUUUUUCUGCGCUGCUGCUUUUCACGUGACCUGCGGAUGGCGACGUGACGGGGGGAGCGGCCGAGCGGGUGGUGACGGUUCGGUCCGUCCGAAGCCAGCACGCGUCGUGGCGACGCCCACCAACGCCACGCGGAGCAGGCCGCCAGAAGUGCCCAUCGUCAGGGUCGUUUACCCAACCGACGGCAGCCCACGAAUGAAAGGGCUGGGACCCACUCAAGCAAGUAAGGCCCGAAACAAAGCCCGUUGUUUUAGGGGCCCCAGUUUUCGGCCCCGUGAAAUUUGUUUGGUCUUUCACAACCACUUGGGCCUUAUCAUAGGCCCACGAGAUAAUUUAUCAUUUGCCCAUGCCUGCCUGCGGCUGCAGGGGAGUCAAAGAGAUUUGUUUUGGGAGGGGACGCGGGUGAGCUCACUCCAAGGAGCAGAAAUUAGGGCGAGGUGAGGGACGGAUCCAUGGAACCGGACGAGGAACGAAUGCCUCUCAACCGAAGCAAAGGCUCGUCCCUAUCUCCUUCCUCUAGCAAAAUCGGUCUCAUUUAAUUUGAGCCAUGUGCGAGCUCCACAUGCCUCUCACGCCUCCCCAGGCUUAUCUCUACUACUACGCGCUCGCUGGUGGAGCUCAGUUCUUAACAACAAGGCACUUGUGCGUUUAGUGUUGUUUACGCUAAUCGCAGCCGCUUAUUAAGAAACUCGCAAAUAGUAUUGGAGGACAGAGAAAAGGUUGCGGCUGACUUAGGGUUUCACGCGCGACAAGUAGUUGGCUUUUUUUCAUUCCUUUGCUUCUUCUUCUUUUUUGCUUGGAUUUUGAUCGGCGUUUAAAGUAUGGUCCAUGUGGAGUUGAGGUGAGAGUGAGUGAGAUUUGUGUUUUGUAGGAGUUCGAUAAUCGAUAUCUACGAUGGUGGUGAUGUGUAUACGGUCAAUGAGAUGCAUACUGAGACACAUGCUUUCCUGCCUCUUGGUAGGGAGCCUCCCUUUCUGUGGUGAUCCAAAGAAAGCUAGUUUUGCAACACGGCCAGAGAUUGAGUUGGCAAAGUGUGGUUGCUAACGUCUUUUGGCAGUGACGUAAGGGACCAAAAUAGCAAGGCCCUUGAAUUGAUUCAGUAGCAUUGGAUCCUAGUACUUAAUCACCGAUCAAAAUACAGUACUCCCUAGCAGCACAUAGAGAGGCAUGUGUAGCUAGUCGUAGGUCGAUCGGUCGUAUGCUUGAAAGUUUAGCCCAGAUAAAGUUGAUCAGAUGUAGAGGCUGAUGAUGAUCAAUCAGCAAUGUCAUGCUAGCCAGUCAUCAGUUCGACUUCAAAUAUCCCAAUACCAUAUGUAAAAUUCAAAACUCUAGGCGGUCAGCGAUCUUUUGAAUUCCAUGGAUGCGGAUUUUUGCUUUAGUACAGGAAGUGACCCUGAUGAAAGUAUAUACUGGAUGCGGACAGAAACGCCACCAACUUUCUCAAACUCAGCGAGAUCAGCGAGUUAAUCGCGACGCAAGCACACUCGCCGGCCCGUAACUCUCGAUGCGUUCAUUAUCUUUCUAGGCGCGCGCGCGCGGGCACGGAAAGCUCUGCAAUUAACGGAGCACUGCACGCAUCCGAUGUCAUGCAGAGUUCACCACUGCUAGCUACUAAUCGACACACGCCACACGGGUCCCCAUAUGUCAGAUCGAUUAGCUAGCUAGCUAAUUUAAACAAGUGCCUAAUAAAUGUGUGCGAGUGCAAGUGUCACUCCCAUCUCGAUCGGAUCAUCUUCGAUCCAAGUACAGAUCGAGAUGCCUGCUCCUUUUUUCUGGUCCUACUGCAAGUUCUGCAGCUAGCUCUGCGAAGGCCUCUAGGCAGCUAGCAGCAGAGCGCACGAGUUAACACGAGCGAGCUAUAGGCCCCUAAAUUUUUCAGAUAAAGGAAAUAAUUCCAGCUAAAAGCCAAGUUGUUAUAUCAUUCUCAGCUUAGAAGCUGAACACAAAAAAUAGGAAAACGAUAUCAUUCUCAGCUUAGAAGCUGAACACAAAAAAUAGGAAAACGAGUACAUAUAGAGCAAGAAAAAUUGAAAAGCAUAUAAUCUAUUAUUAUUUCUCCAUCCAUUCUUAACGAAUUUAAUCCAAAGCGACGAUCUCUAUUGCUUUGCUUGCCAAACAUAUGGUCUCCCUUAUGUCCUAAAUAUUACCCUCUAUCCUGUCCAGUAGCAUAUGUUAACUGUUAAGCACUUAAAACACACAAAAGAGUACUCCUCAACCCUCAUCCAGUCAUCCUACAUGUGUAGGAGUAACAGUUACUUUGUUCUCCCUAGCCCUACUUGCCAAUUGUCAUCAUCAGUCAUCACAGAUUUUUUGUACACGACUUGUAGUACUUGUCUUUCAUGUCUUCUUCCUGAUUUCGCAUCUGAUGGUCAGCUUCUAUCCACAGGCAGAUCAACUGAGAGUGUGUGAUGCAGAGAGGUUCUCUUUGGGUACAUGUUGGCUUGUGGCACUAGAAUAUACCCCGGGCGUCACAUGGCCGGAUGCUUCUCAUUCCCUCUUGCUGCACUGGCCCAUAUCCUAGCCACGCAUGCAUGCGCGAGCAGCAUGGCUACUAGCAUGCGGCAGAGAAUCCCGCGGCAUGCAGCACAUACAUGCGUGCCGUAUGCAUGCAUCAGAGAUUGGGAGAGAUGUGAUGCGGAGAGAGUGAAAAGAGACUGAGAGGGAGAGAGAGAGUAUAGCAGCUGGCUGCUAGGGCGCCCUCUUUUUGUGCCCCGAGAACAAGAGAGAUGGCUCGAUCGAUUUGAUGGUGGUCGCCAGUUUUUUUAAAAAUAAAUCCCCGCCGGCUCACGCGCGAACGUGGGAGAGGGAGUUGGGGGCAACGAAUUGAUGGCCUGAGCUGGACAAAAUCCAAAUUCAUAUGAUGAUGUGAAGGUUGGUGGGGAUCAUUCCACUUUUUUCUGUAGUGGUAACGAACCAACAUUGAAAUUAUGGCGCCAUCGGUUACCGGGAAUACUAGAAUAUGGGAUUGCCCAGUGAAUGCUGCGUGCAUCGAUAUACAAUAUUGGCCCCGGCUGCUUAUUUGUUUUAAAAUAUAGUAUAGUGCUCCUACGCAUAAACUUCUGAAAGAAAAAUUCCUUCUGAAUAUGAGCCACUUCAAUUUACCUUUACUUCUUUAGCAAAGCCUACAUAUGCAUGAACCAUGAUAUCGCAAUGAUCAUCAACUCUCUUCUAGUCUUCUGUGACCAAAUCACAAGUCGGUAACAGUAAUUGGUAGUAAUGAACUUUUACAGGCCGAAAUGACGGGCAAAACUUAGAAAAAUUAGGAACACAAAAUAGUGGAAGCGCAAGGACAAAGCAUUUCUUAAUUUUCACAUCUGGACCUACACCUUUGCGACAGUUUAAAGGGACCACUACUGCACGUUUAAUUUCUCUCUCAAAUGACAGGAAGAUCUAGCAGGAGGAUUCUUCCCAUUCUUGCUGACCAAGUUAAUGUGGGUGCUUAUACCAGGAAUUUAAAUAAAUCAAAUAAAACAAUGACAUCCUUAUUAGUAAGACGUAUGCUACAAUUGAAUUACCUAAAAUACUAUAACUAAACCCUUGUCAUUCAGACACAGCGUUCUCUAUUCUACACUUAUAUUUUUCAUUAAACAAAAAUUAAUAUAAGGAUUUUAAUCGAUGAAGCAUGAUGCUGUUGCCCACAUAAAUAGUGAAUCGUGUCUCUCUUGUGGGCCUUGCAUUGCUAUCCAAAAUAAUACUAUAAUAGGACAUAUGUUCGACUGCGAAAAACUCACAAUUGUUUUGAAAUAAAAGUUUCAGCCACCGAUCACAAGCUUGCAUGCUGGCAUUCUUAAGUUAUUCAGAGUUACUUAACUAUCUAGCCUGUGGGGUGUUUUCAAAUCUCCAACUGAUCGCCUCUUGGCUAAAAUAAUGGCCACUCCUGGCAACGAAGAUUCUCUAGCUUUUGUUAAAGCGUAUCACCUUAAUCACAGCAAGACACACAAAGGACAAAUGCAGACAUCUAGAACACCUAUUCCCAGUUGUUUAAAAUAAUCGUACCUUUAAAAAAUGGAUCUGGCUAGUGUUUAUAUAAUGCCGUGACAGCCUGCCCUCGAAUAAUUCCAAUUCAGAGACAGUUCUCCGUAACUAACUCCAAACAAUUCCUUUUAGUGCUCCGUGAAGUAGAGAUCAGGCAUUGAUCGCCUUUUGGACAGUACCUCAACUCCUCAUGUCAAGAAGUCAAUCCAAUCCCAAACUGUGGUAACAAGGGGGGAGACCAGUGGGGACUGCAGUUGAGAAGAGAGCUAGAGAGAGGGAACCCUAGCUAGCUAACUGGCACAAUGUGCAGUUGUCAGUAGAAAAGAAACAUAGCGCGCGCGCAUCAAAAAAUACUCGAUGAGUGUGGUUAAGUGACAAGACUCUUUGUCUUGACUCAACUCCAAGGUGCUAAGUCAAACUGAUCAGAUAAUAAGUUCGUAUAGUUUCUUAAUUAGUCUACGAAGCUAUACAAGUAAUGCCUAUACGUGUGGAAUAGAUUCCGCAGAAAGGUAAAGAGAUUAGAAUGAAGAGAGACGCAGGUUGAAUAUGGUUUGACCAGUAUUACGCCACGAUGUAGCCGCUAACAGCAUCCACACAUGCAAGUUUUUUUCGUUCUUAUUUUUAAAUAACUUAUGCACUCGAGCAUGCUAGAUGUUUAAUGUUUUCAUAAUACUGUGGAUGAUCGAUUAGCGCUAGUCAGUUCCAUCAAAGUGGAGUUGAUCACAAACAAUUGUCCAGGAAACACAUUAUGAAUACUUUUGGGAGGAGAACACAUGAUAUUAAGUCCUUUAAUUACCUAAUAUUGCAAAAAUGAAGUCAUCUACCAUCAUGUAUGGCAAACACACCAAAAAUCACCUAAACAAGGAGCCAAGAGGCGCAUCAAAAUAUCUGACUUAAAUGUACAUUUUAUGUUCCCACAGUAUUAGUACAAAAAGUGCGUGAAUAAGACAUGCAAAUUUGGAAUAAACAUGCAUGCUAGCAAGAAAAUUGAAGGGCAAAUAAAAAUUAACAAGAUUAGCACAGGAUUACAUUUGAAAGACACUGUUCCCGUAUCUCUAAACCAGGACCAUGUUGUAUGCAGGGUUGAUUGGAAUCAGCUAGAUCAACUGAUCAUGAACGAACUACCAUUUCAACUAUAGCUGGACAACAAUACUGGAAUCACAAAAAGGAGUAUAUAUAUUUCUAUUAAGUAGUAGGUGUCCAUAUAUUAUUCAAACGUAUACACGACUGCGAUGACGAACGAUUGCAUGCUGGGUUUUUAAAGCUGAAUCGGCAUCAGCGACGGCUGCUGAAUUAAUACUAUCAGUUGCAGGAGAAGAGAUAACAUCGAGCCCUAUCACCCGAAGCAUGUCCUUUGCGCCGAAAACGCCUUCAAAUACGGGGGCCAGGAUCUUCUGCGCGGUGAACCGGCAUGCACAGGAUAGGGUUACAAGGUUCUGGGCGCAUGAGAUCCGCCCUCAUGGAUGUCGUUGGAUUCAAAGAAACUUCCACCAGAAAGCAACUGCCCUUUGUUUAAUCCCCAUGGCAGCGUCACCUUCGAGAACCACUUGCCCUAGAUGCAUAAGCAAUUGCAGAGCAGCAAGAGCUAUCCGAUCCUGUGAAAAUCCUGGAUUAUUGAUCAAUUCCAACUGACCAUUUUAUGUCACGAAAUCUAUGUGCUUGAUCACACGGUGAGAUAUGCGUGUCGCGAGUUGCUUAGGCAAAGGAAUUUGUACACGCUUGAUUGUUUGGAUUAUUGUUGCCAUUCGUGUUGUUUACGUGCGUCAUUGAACGUAAAAUACUUCCUUGGUGUACUAAAAUAUAAGCUCAUGUGGCGCAUACAUCUUCUUGUCUAUUAGUCUCUGAUGAGCUAUUACAGUCAUUUUCCACCUCAUUGGCUGGUCAGAUUUGUUAAUUUUUCCAUUCCAGAUAGUUUAUCAUAUGGCAUCAAGAUAGCUAGCUUUGAGAUUAAUGUGGAUACUAGAGAUGCAGUUCUCCAUCUGCUGAUGCCUGCAGGCCGGCCACAUCUUAUUUUUCUGCAAGCAACAAUGCAAUCAUCACGUUGUUGCUAGCUAUGCUGUGUUUCACAACGAGCACGUUCAUACACGUACCUGAUCUCAAACGAUAAGAAGAUAGAGAUGAUAAAGUUAAAUAUGAGAGAUAUUCAGCAUAUUUUUAAGAAAAAACAUAUCAUCCCACCUUUUCGAAUCUGCCAAUAUCUCCAAAGCUGGAAUAUAUGGUUUUCAUAGAACGAAGUUUCUGCAACUAGGACACAGACGGAGAAAACCCUAGCUACGAUCCGGCUGUUGUGUGUUGCUGAUCGAUUUGGGGCGGCAUUACAAUUAUUCACGAGCAAUCAUCGCGAGAAGAACACACACACACACACACCAGCAAUUGCCAAUUUGCCAUGGUACAAGCGCACAAUGCAACCCACCCUGUUCGCCAGCGUGGCCUCGCCGCAUAGAAGACAAAUUCAUGCCAUUUCAGAUCAUAGUACUUGGGGCACACAUGCAUGCGCUUGUGCGUGUCCUGUGGUGAAACGACCAAAAGUACACACAACUAUGCGCCGCACUGUAGCCGCCGCAUAUGGCAGCUCGCAUACGCAUUUCCAUCGUCGGCCAAUGCAACAAUAUUAACUCCCCCCGGCCCGGCCCCUGAUGAUGAUGAUACGCACAAAAACUAUAAAAUAUUGGACUAUAUAUACAUCUAUAAUGUACAUGAAUUUACGCUGCUUAUACAUAUAUAAAUGUUUUACUGAGAUAUGUAGUGCUACAGGGGCACGGAACCACGGAAAUAUGAUGUGAAUUCUUGUGUGCAGAGCGAUCAGGUCGCCAUGAAGAAGGCCUGAGAAGUGCAAGCAGGGUUGCGUGUCCGGCCUCGGUCAUUCCGUCCGUCAGUGGGUCAAGAAGAGGGGACGACGCCAGGCUCACAGGCAGACGUCCGGCGAGGGGCAGGGACCGGGUCGGCUCCUGUUUUUUCACCGCCGUGCACGGGCGCGGCGCGGCCCCGUGGUUUGUUUUUACCAGGCGACAGGCGCCCGCCGCGGCCAUGCCGCCUUGCGUAUGGAGGUGGCACACCGGCCGGGCGCGGCCUCCCCCACCUCCCCGGCCCUGGAAAAGGUCAGCCUCCAUCCGUCCGUCGACGGUCAAUCGUCCGUCAGCAGGAGGGCCAGCAUAGGCAUAUGCAUGCACACAACACAUCGCCAGAAGGAAACAAUACAAAAACCACACAACCCAUCACUCUCUCCCUCCUGUCCCUCUCUUGAUCUCCUCUCCCUCUCUCUCUCUCUCAUCUGCCCUCACAUACUUCUUUAUUGUCCUCUCUUGGAAGCCAACUCAAGUUACCCAUCUCUCCCUCUCAUUGCAUCCCUCCUCUCCUGUUGCUUGCUUGGUGUAAAGAAAAGAUAGCUCGCUUUCCACAGCCCAUCUCUCACAUCCUGCUUCCCCUCCACCCUACCUCCUUUUCUGCCCCCACAAAAGCAAAAAAACAAGUUUGCUUGCUUGCUUGUUAGCUACCUCCAAGCAGCAGAUCGACCCAAACUGCACCUUCAACAGAUCACUGUCCUGCCCUAGCCCCUUUCUUCUUCGUCCCAACACAUGCAAAGCCUGAAGGCUACUGCCUGAGAGCAUCACGCGGCUCCUUGCUAGCCAGCAGCGCAGCUAGCUAGCCCCCUGGUGCCAGUUGAUUGGAAGGGAGAGGAGGAGGAGAAUUAUUGGGAGCGGUUGGUAGCAGCAGCUUGCAUCCACUAUAGAGCCUGCGAGGGAUCGGCAAAGGGCGCCCUAGCUGCCGCUACAGCCAUGUGCGACUACUUCCUUCAGAGGAUGGAGGGCGACCAGGCCGGCGGGGACCUCACCGACAUCGUCCGCGCCGGCGGGGCCAUGCCGGGCAGCGCCGAGGUGCCGUCCACGGCCGCCGAGUGGCAGCUCCAGGGGGAGCCGACGAUGCUCUUCCCGCCGCCGCCGUCGUCAUCGGACGGCUGCGCCGGGGGUGCCGGCGGCGGCGCCGACGUCUUCGGCGACCCUUUCGCCGGCCUCGGGGACCCGUUCAGCAGCGACUACGCAUCGGGCGCCGACUUCCUGGACGCCAUGCCCGACGCGAUGGCCAAGGUCGGCUUCGACACGGCUGUCGGCGGCAGCGGAGGAGGGGGAGGAGGCGGAGGCCAACUGAUGGACAUGAGCCGGAAGCCUUUCUUGCCGCGGGGGUUGCAGCAGAUGCCGGCGGUCGGCGUGCUGGCUCCGAGGGUGCUGCCAUCGCCGCUGUCGCCGAGGGCGAUACGGCCGUACCCGGCGUUAGCCGGCGACAUGGUGAAGCUCGGCAUCACAGCCGGGCAGGUGGCCGGGUGCGCCAUCGACGCCGCCGUUGUCGGCAUGCAGAUGUCGUCGCCUCGCGCCGCGGGCGGGAUCAAGCGCAGGUUGGGGCAGAUCCGCGUGUGGAUCCAACAUCUGCUUUGUUUGCAUCUUGCAUGUUACAAAUACGAACAUGUACGACCGGCGUGUUUGCUAGCUCGUGAUUCUUAGGGAAAGUUCUGCGAUCUCUUUUCAUGUGUUCCUUCUGCUUUGUCCUCCUUUUGUGCUAGUAGCUCUCUCUGCACUGCACCUCCAAGGAAAGGUAAGAAAAGAGGGAGGAUUCCAAGGAUUCCUCGGGCUGUGCCAGGGAUUGGAAAGAUCGUAAGUGUUGCCUACAGCUCGAAAUUUUAGGCGUGAGGGUCAUCAUGAACACAUGGUGUGAUCGGUGGGAAUAUUUCUGAAUCGGCAAACGAUGCCUACACAUAGGGUUAUGUGCAUCUAGACCUAGCUGGUCUUCUCCCCGGAAAGGCCGGCUUUUGUUGAGUUUUGAAAAGUGAUCUGUGAAACCCUAGUAAUAAGCUUCAAUUAGUUGCGAAAUUUUUGAGAAGACGACUACUUAGCUUGUCUCAAAAGAUUAUGCAGUAUUUGCACUUGAGGUUCUGUAAAUUAAUCAUGCGAUUACUGCUGUUUUACCAAAUGUUAACUUGCUAAUAAAGAUUCAUGUGUGCAGGAAGAACCAAGCAAGGAAGGUGGUAUGCAUUCCGGCGCCGACAGCGGCAGGGGGGAGACCCACCGGGGAGGUGGUUCCUUCUGAUCUCUGGGCGUGGAGGAAGUACGGCCAGAAGCCUAUCAAGGGAUCUCCCUAUCCAAGGUAUGUGCUUCACACAUCCGCUAAUUAUAGUUGGGUUUAUGUUUCAAGAGAAAAUGGUUCGUGUGGAACAAUUAAACUUAAGGUGAACAAUGUGUUGGUGAUAAAUUGAGGAUAGAUGGAGCAUAUACGAACUGAUAAGAGUAAACAAAACUAUCUUCUGCAUGUUCUAUAAUUAUACAAUUCUCAGCUCCAUGAUUCUUUGUGUCUGCAUCAUCGAUGCGGUUUGAAUUAAUUAGCUGAAAGCUAAUUUAAUACUUAUACCUGGCUACUGGGUAGCAAGGCGUAUUGGCAUGCUUCUAAUUCUCGUAUCCAACUAGUUUUAUCCCUCUAUGAUACAAUGGCAUUUUUUGGGUUGCACAUCGACGUAACAGAUACGGAUACUUUAUUAGCAAGAUACAAGUAUUUUUAUACAUAAAGUAUGUUUGGGGAUAAUGUACCGAUCCAUAUUCCAAGGCAUACACACUAUCAAUAUAAUUGUUCAUAUUUUUUUCAGAUUUAGUUCUCUUCUAUGCCAAGUUUAUGUUGCACACUACACCAGCUGGAUCAAUUUUUAAGCUCUCUUGUACAGUUUUUAUAUACAUGUGAUAUGUCAGCUAUAUUGUCUAGAUUAAUGUGGAAAAUGUAACUGCUGGAACAAACUUUUUUGGUAAAAUCAUAGCAAAUAUGAUAAUGAUUUUCAAACGCUAUAAAUUAAUAAAAACCAUAGCUGUAUCGGCACAUAAGUACAUAUAUGAAGCGCAAACUUUAUCUUUCGAACGCUGGUUGCAAUAUCACAGCAAGUGAUGAAAAGGUACAUGCUUGCUUGCUGAUAAAAAUGCUUUUGUCCAUUAUUGGAAUGGACGAUAUUCAGGGGGUACUACAGAUGCAGCAGCUCAAAAGGAUGCUCAGCACGGAAGCAAGUGGAGCGCAGUCGGAAUGACCCCAACAUGCUGGUCAUCACCUACACCUCCGAGCACAACCAUCCAUGGCCGACUCAGCGCAACGCGCUGGCCGGGUCAACCCGUAAUCACCACGGCAAGAACAGCAGCGGCAGCAGCUCAGGUUCCAAGAGCUCGCAGAACGAGAAGCAACAGCAACCAAACGUCAAGGAAGAGCCCAAGGAUCCGGCCACGACGACGACCACCAGCACGAUCACCACCACGACCAGUACCUCUCCGGUAGCGGCUGUGAAGGAGGAGGCGUUGGCAGGAUCGUCAGAAGCGUUGGGGAGAGUCAUGGAUGCAGCGGUCGUAGACCACAAUAUCGAACUCAUGGACCAAGUGUUCAGCGAGAGCUACAAGCCGAUGAUACCGGAGGCCGGUCACUCCGACGACUUCUUCUCCGACCUCGCGGAGCUGGAGUCAGAUCCCAUGAGCCUGAUCUUCUCCAAGGAGUACAUGGAAGCAAAGCCAAGCGGUGGCGGUGAUCGUGCCCAGGAGAAAGCAAUAACCAAGGACUUGGAUCCAUUCGACAUGCUGGAUUGGUCCACUACCUCUUCGGCAGCAAGCUCAUUUGAGCAAGGAAAGAGAGGUUAAUAAAAAAAACACCGUGUACCCUUGGCAUAUGUGCACACAUCAUAUACAUUGGAUGAGCAUCAGCUAAUAACCUGAAAUUAAGAUUACCACAAGGUCAGCAAGGAAAGAUGAGAGGUUUUUUUUUUCACUUUUCUCUUCCUCUUUGGGUCGUUCUUUGUGUCCUUAUUAUCAUUGUGUGAGAGAGAUUGGAAUUUUUGUUCAAGGUUUAGAUAUGAACCUUGUUUUAAAAGGUUUGUGUCAGCUUGAUGUGCUGUACUUAUGCAUAUGAGAUGAGCUAGUAGCUGGUAGCGCUGAGGAUCCUGGAUCCUCGCUCGCGCACGCUAAGCUCCAUUGAUCUGCUGCAGGUGUUUAUGGUUAUCUGACAUUCUAUGUGCUCGAAGAAGAUAUGACAUAAAAAAUUGGAGAGAUUGGGGAGCUUGGGCCAGGGGUGUGUGUGUGUGCGCGUGUGAAUGUGAUAGACGAAGGAAAUGGGGAAUAGAAGAAGAGACCCACAUCCUUGAAGGUGAUGUGACAGAAAGCAGAGGCAGGGGCGCCCGUUGCAACGGAAGAUGUUGUGUUACAAUAGCUGGCCGCUCGGGCCACUCCUUGCUUUUGCAUGCCGCGCUGGGGCCUGGGAGCCUAAGUUGGAUUCUCUGGACGGUACAUGUUUUUGUCCGUGCGCCAAGGAAAAUGCAUGCACGAACUUUUACCUGUUCCUCUCCUCCAGCAGUGUGACCAGCCACAGCCGCUGCUUAUUACGUACACUUGCCUAUUUGGCAAGUGUACGUGCCGCCCCUGUGCAUUAGUACAUGCGAUAUACAGCACGCUGGUCUAUUUGGCAAGUGUACGUGCCGCCCUAGCAAGCCAGCUCGAUCUGCUGUAGUAUUGCCUGACAGCAAGUGGUGAAGCAGCAUGUGUAUCCGGCCGGUACGGUACAACGUUCGGUAAAUACGUGGCGCGUACGUAUGCUAGCUUCCAAUUUGGACCCACCUGCUGGGAGAGAGUAUGUAGGGACAGUGGCUCUGCGUACGUACAUACCCUGCUCUCGCUCGUCUCAUGGCGCCGGGCUGAUGUACGUACGCGUACAACAAUAAUGCGGUCAAGGAGUAACGCAUGCGUGCGUGAGUCGGUGUGAGUGAGUGCCCCUCUGCCGUUGCUGCAGGGAUGGCCACGUGCACGUGUCUUACGGCGCGGACAGAUGUAACAUCGUGUCAAACGACACGUAACUGUAAAUUUGUCAGUGGUGGGCUGUGCACCAUGAUUACAUUUUGUGAUACAUAUACGUGCAUCCAUCAACGAACACCCGGCCAGCCGGCUGUCCCAAAAGUAACGCACUUUUCCGGCCGGACAAUGUACACUGUUUUUUUUCCUUCUUCUUACAUGAAAAAGAGAAAAAAAAAUGUAGCGUGAUGAGCGAGGUAAUGACAGGUCGACGAGAGAAUCGCAAUUGAUCCGGGCGUUGUGGCUGCGGGCUGCUGAUUGCAUUGGCGGGUGAUAAACCGGCUAUCAGUUGGGCAUGCAUUAUCCUAAGCAACCGUUACAGACUGCAAAGCUGCCUGCCGCCUCGCCCGCAAGGUCGUCGUCGGUGGCGUGGCGCUCCCCGAGCGAGUUCGUGCGUUGCACGCGCGGGUGCGGCCGGCCUGGCGACUUGCGACGUGAGCGAUCGGGCAACGGCGCACGCAAACCGAGCUAUCGCGCACGCAGGCCGGCCGUGUGGGGGCCGUACGCGGAGCUCCUGUGCCGUGCGAUGGGCACAGCGGCCACGACGACGACGACUGAGGAAGAAGAGAUUGGGUCGUGAUGCGCCCAAUAAUUAGGCAUUCAAGCGCUGGGGCAGACCUGUCCGGGCGUCGGAUAAGCAACUGCUACUAUAGCGAGCCACACGGAUCACCGAGGGGGUCAGGUCACGCGUGCGUGCGUGCGUGCCACUAUUGCCUUAUUGGGAGCGCGCCAGGGGAGACGACCCCCGAUGGAUUGGCGCCGGGAAUUGAAUGCGAGUCCAAGGAAGGAGCCCUGUACCGGCACAUUUGGAUGUUCGGAUCAGAGGGUGGUGGUGGUGCAUGCAUGCGAUGCAGGGGUUGUUGCAGCGUGCCUUUCACUGGUAAAUACCCCUGCGACGUGCUUAAACGCAGGUGCUGUGCCGUGGGAGCCCACCGCAGGGGGGGUGGCAGAUGGCAGAGGCAUUUCUCCGGACAUCCUUUGACGAUCGGUCAGUCAGUGAGCACAAUUACCUUGUCCUCAUCUCAAAAGGGUUUGUUUAAAAAGAAAGGAGGAUCCGAAAACGAAAAUGCAUGUGAGCACAAUUACCCUGCUGGGCCAAUCAAUAAAGGUGAGCAGCUAACAAACAGCCCUGCUUGCUUGAUUUGCUUUGGGCCCCUCCAAAGCCCAGCUGAGCUGGAACCCCAAUGUUGGGCCUCGCUUUGCUUUUAGCAAGGGCCUGUUUGGCAGAGCUCCACGCAGCUUCAGAUCCAAAAAACGGUAGCUCCACUACAAAGCAGCUCCAGCGUGGAUCUAUGUUCUCACUGUGGAGCUGAGCAAAAGUGUUUGGCUGAGACAACAGCUCCAAAUCCAGAAACAGAGUUUUUGGUUGGAUUGUCCACUAAUGCCCUUGGUGUUUUCUAUUUUUUCUUCUCAUUUUUUUCUGCUUAUAAGAAAUAAAUGUAAAUGUGAGAAAACAGUUAUGCGCCAAUUACCGAUUUGUUGUCAACUGUGUCGUUUAGGUGGUUGUCGGCUUAUAUAAAGUUUCUGAGUGAAUUUAUGUUCGGCGUGGUAGCUACUGAUUGGGUGUUUUCCCAUUUUUUUCUUCUCAUUUUUUCUAAUUACAGGCGAGGUAAGCAAUAGUGAUCAUCCUGCUGUCAUAUCUGGCUGUUAAAUCCAUAGACCGAUAAAAGAUCGGACAAAAGCCCAGUCAUUUUCCCAAGCAGUUGAUUCAUUGUUCAUACAUAAAUUAAUUAUUCAUACAUAAAUAAUUGUCCAUACACUUUUUUUGUUUUUUUCCACCACUCGGCGUCCAUAUUGAUAGUUCCCUUCUCCCAGUUCCAACCAGUACCAGUUUGCUUUCUCAUUAAUUUUUUCCAUGCAGACAAAUCAACCCUCAACUUAUCCCACUUGUUCUUAAGUCGACUUUUUUUCAACAUGAUACCGGUACUUUGAAAAAACCUUUCUUUCACCUCGGAAUAUCCCACAUUGUUCAAAUGAGUGUUUGGUCGAUUUUCUUUUCUAACUUGUUCAACGAAUAACUUGCAACCAAUGGUGGUAUAGCCAUCAUUCCAAUCCAUAUGAUCACCCUAUUAAUGAUUUCCCCAAAAUAUUGUUCAAAUUCCAACUGUAUUAUACAACAGCUCCACUACAAUGGAAGAAAAAUAUACCUCAUCAUCCCUUGCUCUUUUGUUAGCUGAUGCAGCACGCCUCCUAACUUGCGCAAUCGGCGUAGAAGAUGCCUACGACGCCAUCAGGAACUCAUUGCCGAUCACCGCGUCCUACAUGCCAUUUGCUAAUAAUCCAAUUAGUAUAGCCUAUCAGAAGAUGCUGUUAGCUGCAAGUUUCAAUAGUGAACAUGAACUCGUUUCACCACUAAAUACCAAAGAAUAAACAGGAACUCGUUUUGCAGCAGGUUUUUCAUAUAUAACAUUUUUUCCUGCAAGAGAGCAUAGCAUGAUGAAAUAAUGUGAUAAUGAUAAAUUCCCUUCCAAUACACUUCGAUACAUUUAGAGACAAAAGGUGCACUUGUGAACUAAGAAUAGAGUUUGCCCAAGAAACUUUAGCUUCAUCAUGUAAUCAUUUCCUCUGUGACAUCAAUUUUUUUUAAAGUUUUGCAGACGAAUGCAGCAUUUUAGAGGAUAUAAUAUUUCAUCUAGAAAAAAAUUUAAAUCAUUGCUUUUGUGAUUUUUCAUGUUGUUUCUCGACUUAACACGUGUAAAAUCAAACUAUACUCCCCAGAGAUGACAGUAACUAAACAUCGUUAAUCAUGAAGCAGUGACGAGCAUGCAAAAAGAUUUCUGUCAAAAGAACAAAAGGCACCAUUUUACAACAUUACCUACUCAUUAUCACAUAAGCACAACAAUUUUCUUAAAAGCAAAGAAAGCUUCCAAACAAGUUAAGUAACAUGAUAAUUAUGAAGCCAGGGGUAACCCAGAGUGGUUUGCAAAGGAAGAGAAGGUUGAGGAGAAGGAAGAAAGUGCAGAUGUAAGAUCACUGUUCUGUGCCCCGAUUCCCAUUUGUUUUGCAACAUUUCUAUUCCCUAUCAUGAUGAAGAUCUCGUGCAACUCUUUUUUUUAGAAUAUCGUAAUGAGGGAUAUGCAACUUUCAAUGCUCUGAUGCCAUCUAACCUGAAUGCCAUCUUUAUAUCACUAUCCCAAUUCUUCUGUAUCGUUUUGGUUCCUUUGGAUGCUGAGGUAAAUUCAGAGACAUAACUAUGUUGAAUAUAUAUUUGCAGGACAUGGGCUUCAACCUCUUCGACUGAGCUGUGCAGUCAUCAGAGUCCCCUUUUGGGUGGAAAAAUAGUUGUGAUGUUUGGAUUCUAGCCUUAUUUCAUGUUGGUGGAAUGACUGCUAGGUAGUAAUUCAGCUGUAACUUGCUAUCCUGGCUUGUGUUUUUACUGGUGAACCAGAGUUUUUCUAUCAAAUAUAUUAUCCUGGCUGGUGUUUUUACUGAGACUAGAUUUUCCCAAGGGUGUUACAUAUACAACAUACAAGCAUACUGUCAUUAACCUUGUGACAAAAGCAUAAUUCCGCCAAAUGCGAAGGCCAAGGCAAAGCCACUGAAUUGAGCAAACCAGACAAUGCCUUCCAGAGCAUGAUGGCACCAGAAUUGCCCAGAGUGGCCAAGCGAUUCAACUCAUACCACCCUUAAACAAGCAACAAAGUACAGAAAUCAGACAAAAUAUGCGAGAAUGCCAAAAUCGUACCAAGCCAUCCGCGGCCACGCUACCAGCGCUGGCCGCGCCGCCCAGGCCAGCCGCGGCCCGGCUUGCGCCGUCCAGGUCGGGCGCGCCAUGCUCCCGCCACCGCCCAUGGCCGGAGAUCCAGUGAUGCUGCCGGGACGGGGAAGUCCAACCCUAGGGGCCGGACUGGAAGACGAAGGGGGCGGAGGAGGUGGAGGAGGCGCUGAUCUCCUCAUUCCCGGCGGCGGUCCGGCCACCGACGGUGACGAAGGCGCUGGAGGCGGCGGCCGGCGCUGGAAGAAGAAAAGGCGCCGGAGGAAAAAAGAAUGCGGCGUCGGAGGAAAAAAGAGAGGCGGUGUGCGGAAAAAAAAAUAGACGCGAACCGGUACGAGGAUUGUAAUGGAUGGCAUUGGUGGAUAAUUUCCACCAACUCCAUGAGGGGUUACAAAAACAGCGUUUUGAGAGCACCCCCUGAGGUGCUCCGUGGAUUUGGUGGAUUUGGGAGCUAGAUCCAUUUUUUUUGCGGAUCUGGAUUUCACAGAGCUGCACCGUUUGGCUGGAAAAAAUGGGAGCGGAGCUGUUUUUAAGGAUCUGAAGCUGCGCGGAGCUCUACCAAACAGGCCCCAAUUAUGCUCCCUGACUCCCUGUUCCUGUUGUUUUUACUUUCACCUGCAGCAUCUCACUCAGUGCCUGGGAUCGACGUGCCCAGUUCAAACUGUUCGACCGCUGCGAACUGUUACUCAAAUCUUGAUCGACCAGUCCAAACUGUUCCUCAAAUCUUGCCCAGUGCAACAGUAAGCUCAUCUGCUCACGCUUACCUCCCACCCCUGCGUGGCGUUCGGAUCUCACCUAAUCUCCUGUGUUCCACUUACACGCAGCUCGCUGUCACCCUGUUAAGCGGUGGCUGACAUGCUCAUUACCAGGUAAUCCUCCUGACGUCACACGGCGCGGCUGGGCUGUCAAGUCCAGAGGAUGAGCGCCCGGAGCCUUGCUUGGACCAUCCCAGCCGUUGGAUCCGCAUCCACGUACCUGUUUUGCCAGUGGAAAGGCACGUCAUAGAUUCGAGCGAGCGGUCACGUCGAAAUGCUCGCAGACGGAAGAAAACUUGUGCAUCGCAAAUGGCAAUGGAGGCGGAGAGGGGCCCGUGAAAGCAAUGGCUUCGGGACCCUUUUGUCACAUCCGUUCGGUGCGUCCAAUCAGAAUCAAUCAUGCCCCGCAAUUUCCGCGAGAGCACGCCUUUUUCCAUUUGGAGUAACGUGCAUUCCCACCCCCAAAUCGGAGUCCUCAGUCGCUCUCGCUCGCUCUCCCAAUCUCCCGUCCUCUCCGCCCACCCAAAUCUGCCGUGCCGUGACCCUCAAAGGAGAGGCCAGCGGAAGCGGACGCUGCCGCCUGCCGGCAUGGACGCCGGCCUCGAGCGGAGGAGCCCGCCGCCGCUUCCAGGGGAGGCCCAGGUACGUCGUCCGCGUGCUUGCAGUUGCAUCUAUCGGUUCGAGCCCGAGGAGGCCUCCCGUUACGCGCGUCCCGCCGGUCGGACGACGCGACGCGCCGCGCCGCCGCAGGAGGCCCCAUGCGCGCGUCUGAUUGGCGAGCACGGGCACGGGUGGUUUUAGAGAGUUCCACCGGCGCCCGGUGCCAUUCUGCUGCGGUGCUAUGGCGGCCUCGCCGGCCGGCGGUCAGCUGCCUGUGUUGUGACCGUGCACUGACUGUUCCUUUUGUUACCGUGCAAGGCGUCUAGUUCAGGUCAGAGCCUAGUGCCACUGCUGGGAGCUCAGGAACAGGAACUGGGCAAGGAUAGUAGUAAUCUCUACUCCAGGGCGUCCAAUAUAGUAUUGUGUAAGUAUCUGGCACUUCUUUCCAAUGUUAGUCUUGAUCCAAGAACAAUGACCCAUAGGUGACAAAUUAUUUACAGCGUUAUACGAGAUGUGCUUUUUAUCUCAAAAGUCUAGUACGGUGCAGUAUAUCCUUGCUUGCUUCAGAAUGAUAUAACCAUGCGAGUGAACUCAACUUACUGCGCUACUAGGCCUGGUGUUCUUCGAAGUCGUAGCUUUCUACGGGGUCUACCUGAACCUGGUCGUGUACCUCCAGGACGUUCUCCAUGGGGACAGUGCUUCCAACGCGGCGGCCGUCAGUUCCUGGGCCGGUGCAAGCUUCCUGAUGCCCGUGAUCGGCGCCGCCAUUGCCGAUUCUUACUGGGGCAAGUACAAGACGGUGCUCGUCGGCCUCUCCAUAUCUCUUGCCGUAAACGCUCCGCACAAUUUGGCAUCUGAACUCUAAAUAGUACUGGCAACUGUGUGCUUGCUUCUCUGACGUACAACUGAAAGCAGGGGAUGGCCGUGAUCACGACAUCGGCUACUCUGCCGUCGCUGAGGCCUCCGCCGUGCGAGCACGGCGGCACGUACUGCGCCCCGGCGACCCUGAGCCAGCGGCUGGUGUUCUUUGCGGGCAUAUACCUCUGCGCGAUCGGGACCGGCGGCGCGAAGGCGGCCAUAGUCUCGUUCGGGGCGGAUCAGUUCGACGACGACAACGGCAAGAACGCGGCGGAGCGGGAGAUGAAGGCGUCCUACUUCAGCUGGUUCUACGGGGUGGGCAACCUGGCCGUGCUCACCUCGGGGACCCUGCUGGUCUGGGUCGAGGAGAAGGUCAGCUGGGGGCUCGGGUACGGCGCCUGCGCGGCGUCGAUGGCGGUGGCCGUCGCCGGCCUCGCCGCCACGGCGCCCGUCUACCGGAUAGUGCCUCCGGUGGGCAGCCCGCUGAAGGGCGCGUGCCAGGUGCUCGUCGCGGUAGCUCACAAGGCGGGUGUGAGAGUACCUGACGACGCUGCUGACCUGUACGAGGAGGUGCACGUCAAGACGCCAUUGCUUGAUGAACCAGCGCGCGAGCAGCUGGAGCACACCGACGAGUUCAGGUGCCUGGACAAGGCCGCGGUCGUCACGGGCGCGGACCUGGAAGGCGCCAGCCCGUGGAGGCUGUGCACGGUGACCCAGGUGGAGGAGCUCAAGACUCUGCUGCGGCUGGUCCCGAUCUGGCUCACCUCCGCCGUGUACUUCGUCGCCAACUCCCAGACUCAGACAACCUUCGUGCAGCAGGGCACGAUGACGGACACCAGGAUCAGGAUCGCCGGCGGCGCGUUCUCCGUCCCGGCCGCGUCGAUGACAAGCGUCAUGACGGUGUCCGUGGUCGUCUACAUCGCACUCUACAACCGGGCCGCCGCGCCCGUGGCGCGCCGCUUCCUGGGCCGCGCGGAGGCGCUCACGCCGCUGCAGCUCAUGGGGCUCGGACACGGCGCUGUAGUCGCCGCGGUGGCACUCGCCGCGUUCGCCGAGGUGCGCAGGCUGGCGAGCGCCAGGGCCGGUGCGCCGCCCAUGGGCAUCGCGUGGCUGCUGCCGCAGUACGUGGUGAUGGCCGUCUCCGACGCGUCGCUCAGCGUCGGGCAGCUGGAGUUCUUCUACGACCAGGCGCCGGAGACAAUGAGGGCCGCGUCGACGGCGUUCUACUUCCUGUCGUUGUCGGUCGGGAGCCUCCUCAGCUCGCAGGUGGUGACGCUGGUGGCGUCUGUGACCUCGGCGGGCGGGCGGAAGGGGUGGUUCCCGGCGGACAUGGACGAGGGGCACCUGGAUUACUACUUCCUGCUUAUUGUUGGAAUCGCUGCGUUGAACUUUGCCGUUUUUGUUUACCUCGCCAAGAAUUACACGCCCAAGACCAAGAGGGUUAGAUAGUCAUAGGAUUCUUUCUUAUCUCUAUUAAAGUUCAACAAAAAUCUCAAUAGUCUGCUAGCACUUGUCAAUUAUCACCUGCAUGUAAUCAAAAUGCAAAUAUAAAUUGGAAUUGAUGCACGGAACAUACAAUUUGGAUUGAACUUCAUUUUGAAAUGUACUUUGCUUAUCUUUUCAAGCCACAGACCGUACCCCCUCCAUCCCAUAAUACACGGCAGCGCACAUAAUUUAAUAUUCAAACUUUGAAUAUUUUGACCUACAACUAACUUUGUAUAAUGAAAAUUUUUUCUUACAAAGAUAAUAUCAUUGAAUUUAUGUUUAAAAGCACUUUAUAUUGCUAUAAACAUUAUAAUUUUAUUGCUAUAAAUAUUAUAUUAUGAGGGAUAUUUAAAGUCAAAUCUUAAUAUUAGAGACCGAUGCAAAAUUAAAUUACGUCGUGUCUUGGGAUGGAUAGAAGGGGUACCGAUGAAAUGUUUGGCCCGCCCCAGUAAGUACUGGGCUUGGGUGAUUUGCUUUCUGAUUUAGAUUGGGCUGGGCUGACUGGACUGGUAGUCAGCUGGAAGGAAAGGAUAAUCUAAAAAAAAAAACAGGCUGGAAGGAAAGGAAAAUUGUCAUGUACUUGUACUUCUCUGACAGACUGGAAGCAACACUCGAUGCCUCCGUAAUUCCAGUGCUACUACUUCUGUUGUUACCGAGUCUUUCGGCGUUUCUACUGUAACAUACUAGUACAGUACAUACUACUCCUCCAUUUCUGACACUGCCUUGUUUAUACCUCCGUUGCUUUUGCAACAACCACUUGUUCUAGAGUUACAUGACGAAAUGGUCGGUAGCGGAAAUUCAGUCUUGCGGUUGGUGAGAGCGAUGCGCCUGCGCUCUACGAAUUUCGUCAGCUGUCUGAGCUGACCUGAGGUUGUUGAGCUCAUUGGUCUUCAGUCCAUGCGUCGAGCACAAGCGAUUUGAUAACACCAUCCCCCCAAAUUCUCCAAAAUGAACGCCACCGUACUUUAAACCCAGUUAGACCAUAGAUGCCCUUCUCUCUCUGCUUCCCCACUGGUAGAGUUCCAUCUUUGAAUUGAAUGGAAGUGGCUCGUCACUCGUCAGCUUGUUGCCCACCAACCAUUCAGGAUGAGGAGAUCUCGGGUCAAUGUCAGUAUGAAUCGGACUAUUUGGGUCAGGUCGAGGUUCAUUUUUAUCUGGAUCUGAAUGCAUGCGGGCGGCCGUUUUUGGCCAAGACUUGGAUUCUGCAUUAGUUGAGCAAACCAUGUGUUCAAUAAAAAAAAUUAGCACAAAUCAGUCGUCACUUUCCGUAAUUUAUAUCGGUCAAUUACUAUGGAGAUAUGCCAUGAGUAAGUAGUUUCUCAUGCAUGUUUCAAAUUAAAGCACAGGACAGAAGGCGUAAGAUGGUACUGUACAUGAGAGUCUGAGGCCAUGACGGCUGCGCUGACGGGGAGGCGCCGAGGCGUGGAUACACUCUCUCCUCAGGUCAACAGAACAGGUCAUGUGUUCAUCUGAUCUUUCAAGGUGAAACAACUCUUGUCUGGUCAACAAGUCAUGUAUGUGUUCAAUUGAUCUCUUUCGAGGUGAAUCUUUGUCAAUUUUACUGAAGCCUCCUUUUCUGGUAUCUGAACGACCGAACCUCUCAACAACCACACAACAACGGUGUCCUCCUGCAGCCCAGGCGCAGAUAAAUUCAAAGGAUCUUAUCAGAUUAUUUUGUAUUUGGCCAUGUGCUGGUAAUGCUUUUUCUCACCCAUGUGAUCUUUUUUCAAAUGAAGAGAAGUCUAAUUUGUGCGUGGUCGUCUGGUGAUAAUAAUAAUAUGCCGUAUGUUAAUUUCGUUUUUGUAACCUUUCAACAAGAAGGCAAGACCAGCCGGCAGGUGGAGCCUUGUGUCUGUCAACACCAAACACACUUUCCCCUAAUCCCCUUUUAGCACGCUCCUUGUAGGCUUGCAGCAAGACUGAUACUGUUGCAUAUUGGAAAGGGAAAGUAAAAGUGAUGUAUAAGCAAGUGGUGGUAGGAUGAACAUAAAAAAAAAAGUGCAAGAAUAUGUUUCUGUAUCUAUUUGAAUUCUGAACUUUGCAUUCAGAAAAGUUCGAAAUGCAUGUCAUGCUAACUGCUAAAGGUUUUGGUCGAUUGUUGACUGCAUUGGAGACUUGUGCCUCCCUAAGCUGAACAACUUUCUAAAUUGACAUUCUUAAUCAGCAAAGGGAUAUUUGCAGGGAUGCGAUACAUGGCGUGGUAGUCGUUGGAGAUAAACUCCAUUGAUUCAUGCAGGCAAAAGGAACGAAGUGCAUGAUAGAUUUUCCCCCCCGUUCUUACUCAUCGAAUCGAAUUAGAAAAAGGCUCAUUAACUAAAAACUUUCGAUGUCUUAUGCCUUUCAAAUAAACAAAAAAUAGGUUCUUCACACAAAGGAUAUUUACCUUUAGGGAAGUUCACAUGCACGAUUAAAAAAAAUCCAGAGUGCGAAAGUGCUAUUGCUAGAGAUGAACAAGGUUAUCCAGGAAAUCGGCAGGAAAUGGUGCAGCUGAACACUCUGUCCUGGGGAUAUAUAAAUCAAAACCUUGGCAAAGUGACAGCAGACAGGCUUCACACUCUUCAGAAAAAAACGGCGCGGCCUUACAUUUCGCACGUAGCAUCACACAUAACCUAAUCUAACAACGGCACUACUUAUAAUAUACAGGAAAAUAGGACACUGAUUUGGUCAAAUAAUAUGACCAAGCCGAUGCAAUUGCACUUGCACCCAACCAGGGUGGCCUCCCGUACCGUACGUGUCUGGAGAGCUGUUCUGUGAAGACCGAAGAUACGGUAAAAGCUUGCUGAAUGCUGAUUGGAGUUAAACUGCAUGGAUAGAUGAAUGAACCAGCUCUUGUCACUUGUCACUUGUCAGGGAAAAGAAAAGGUCAAAAGCAAAAGGCAAAUUGGUGUGGUGGAAAAAGAGACGGUGACUCAGACGGAUGUCUGUCCUUGCAGUUUAUCUGAUGACAGUGGACUAUGUGAAGCAACACGCUUCUGCUGAUAGAAGCCUUGCUGUCUCGCCUGCUUUCUUGGAGUUCGACCGUUUCAAAAACAUCUCUGCUCCUAUAUUAAUAAAGAGAAAGAGAAAAGUCCGGAUGGGUAAAAACAGCGGAAGCACUGUACAACAUAUACACUCACACCCCUGUUUAGGAAAAGGAGAAAGAGACUUAUAGGCUAGCUACGUACAUCAAACACGAUGAAGAAAAUGUGCUAGAUGUUUUGCUCCUGCCGCUAUCCAAAUUGAUGAUUGAUCUUUGAUCUUUGUAACUACAUCAUUACAAGUUUGCUAUAACAGCGGAAGCACUAUACAACAUAUACACUCACACCCCCGUUUAGGAAAAGGAGAAAGAGACUUGUAGGCUAGCUAUGUACAUCAAACAUCAUGAAGAAAAUGUGCUAGAUGUUUUGCUCCUGUCGCUAUCCAAAUCGAUGCUUGAUCUUUGAUCUUUGUAACUACACCAUUGCAAGUUUGCUAUUUCCGUUGGAAGAUCCUCGCAUUCCGCUCAAGCCAAAUUUCCUACAGUACUAGGAGAAUUAGGCUUUUUAGCCCUUUCCGGCCAGCCACCUGGGCACUUGCUAGUGCUGUCCACCACUCGUGUACGGAGUCCUGGCUGCCCCAAUGGGUAGGGCUUAGAAUUGCGCAGUGGGACUAGUUACUCAUUUCUUCCCAAAUCGUUGUCGUAUAGGUGCAGCUCCUGAACAGAUGGAGUCCCGUUUCUAGCGUAGAGUCACAGAGGACACAAAGCGGGUUGCACGACCAUCCCCGCCUUGCCAAUCUAUUUGCUGUCCAUAUUCUGUUCUGGAUCACCAACCAUCUGAAGAACUUGCAUUUGGGUGGCGCCCAUGGCUUCCAAAUGAUGUUAUCAAAGUUAGUGAUUGUUGACCCGAAGAAUUGUAUACGGUAAGCCGACUGCGCGCUAUACUGUCCGUCUAGCGUGAAUUUCCAAAUGAUGGUGUCCUGCACUCCCGAUGUGAGCUGCACCUGUGACACCUCAGUCCAUAGGCGUAGGUACCCCAUUAGAUGUGUGACCGAUGAGCCUUGUUGUUGUAUGAGAUUCAAGCCUCGAACCCAUGUGUGGUUCGUGGUGGCAUGUUGUAGUGAUCUGUUCUUCCUACCAAAAAUCCUAAAGAGGUUAGGGGCCACAUCCCUUGGCCUUUGCCCAUCAAUCCAGCCACUUUCCCAAAAGGAUGUCCUCUUACCGUCCUUAAUUAUGAUCUUUGUGGCUGCCGCAAAUAGCCUGCGAUCCGCUUGCAAGCAUGGGACGUCACCAGGUUCCCACCGAUUGUCUUCAUUCAUCCAUUGGUACCAUAGCCAUCUUAGUCGGAGCGCUCUCGAGAACUUUCGAAGGUGCAGCACACCUAGGCCUCCCCUUUUCUUGAUCUCGUUGUCCGCACCCAAUUAAUCUUGGAUUUUCCUCCUGUCAGACUCUCCGUUCCUGCCCAAAGAAAUUGUUUCCUUUUUGCAUCAAUGAGCUUUAGUAUUUCUUUGGGUGCGUUAAGUGCUGUGAGCAGGUAGACCGGUUGUGAAGUGAGUACCGCUUUGACAAGCGUUAGUCUACCGGCUGCCGACAUAUUUUUUCCUUUCCAGCUGCUCAGAUUGCUGUUGAUCUUGGCCACUAGAGGCUGGUAGUCGAUUGUCCUGAGACGGGUUGUAGAUAACGGUAGGCCAAGGUACUUGACUAAGAAGGCGCCAUUUCUUGCUAGUAGGUUCUUUAGGACUUCAGCGAGUUGUAUUCCUUCGCAUUGGAUCAGGAUUACCGUUGAUUUUUGGAAGUUCGUUUUCAGCCACGUUGUCUCUCCAAGCAUAUUUAAGAUGCUGACCAACACAUCUAUCUCGUCCUUCUUUGGUGCGAUGAACAUUGCAGCGUCGUCGGUGUACAUCGAGAUGCGGCAGUAGGGUGUCCGCCCACGUAGUAGAGAGUACUCCCAUCUCUGAUGCUAGUUGCAGGAUCCUUUGCAGAGGAUCAAUUGCUAUGACGAAUAAAAGCGGAGAUAAGGGGUCACCCUGGCGUAGGCCUCUACCAUGAAUGAGUGGCGGGUUUGGAACCCCGUUGAGUAGUAGGCGGGAGGAUGACAUGGAGAGAAGCGCUGCAAUCCAGUCUCGCCAGCACAUCGGGAAACCCAUGUAUUGUAGGAGUGACAUAAGGUAAUCCCACCUUAUGAAGCCAUCUAGCCGUAUUUCGCACCGUCAUAAAGUUAUCAUGGAUACUCCAUUUUUUGAUGAAUGCGCUCUGGCACUUGGAGACAAUUGAUGACAUAUGUGGUUGCAAUAUGAGGGUCAAUGCUUUGGUGAUAAUUUUGAUGAAUGAGUGUAUCAGGCUGAUGGGCCUAUAGUCCUGUACAGUGUCUGCCCCUUCUUUCUUCGGUAUUAGUAUGAUAUUUGCAGAAUUGAUGAGUUGGAGGCUAUUACAGCACAAUGAGUAGAAAGCAUUCACUGCUGCCAUCACAUCUUUCUUAAUGAUUUCCCAGCAUGUUUUGAGGAAGAGGCCCGUGUACCCAUCCGGCCCUGGUGCUUUGUCCCCUGGCACCCUGCCAAUGGCAUGCUUGAUUUCAUCUUCUGAGAAAGGGGCAUCUAGCGAUGAUAAUUUGUGGUGGGCAAUCCCUAAAAUGUCCUAAUUGAAAUCCGCAUGACGAGGCAAUAGCCGCUGCAUAGUUGCUUUGAAGAAAUUUUGGAUUUCAUUUGCUUUAUCCUCAUGAUUACACGCCCAUCCAUUGCCUUUUCUUAGUUUUUGAAUGAAGUUCCUACCCUAGCGUUCGCUCUUUGGUGAAAGAAGCGUGUGUUGGCGUCCCCCAACUGUAGGUCUCUGACUCUGUUGGCUUGUUUUUUACGCACCCGCUCCACGACAGCUAAACCCAUGGCCCUUGUCUUGAGUCGUUUACGCAGGAGGUGCUCCUGCUAUGAAAGUGGUCUGUGUUCUUGCGCCAUGUCGAGCCGCAUAAUGAUCUCCAGGGCCAUGAGCAGAUGUAGUUUGGCGUCUGGGAUGAGCUUGGUACUCCACUCCCUCAGGGCUGCAGCCGUUUGCUGGAGUUUGUGAUAUAAUCUGUGAAAAGGUUCUACAUGUGGGGAUUGAGUGGUCCAAGCCCCUGUGAUGACGUCCCUAAAUCCUGGUAGCUUUGUCCAAAAAUUCUCAAAUUUGAAGGAGUUUGGUCAUCGCAGACCUCCUUGGUUAGACAGUAGUACGAGGCAGUGGUGUGACAAGGAGGAUGAUAGGGCAUGCAAAACAUGCUUGCUGUAGGCAAAGUCCCCGUCAUCGUUUGCAAAAACUCUGUCGAGCUUGAUAGGGGUAGGGUUUCGCCAUUCAUUGCUCCAUAUGAAUUUUCUAUUUUGUAAUUUGAUUUCAUGUAAGUCACAGGCAUCAAUCGCGUCUCUGAAUGUGGACAUUAGCCUUAGAUUUAAGCUGUUGUUGUUAUUGUCGCUUGCUUUGUAUAUCAUAUUGAAGUGCCAUUGGGAACCCGCUUGGGGCUUUAGGGACCAUAUUUCGGUGAGGAAAUCCAUUUUUCUCCUCGCACUGGUUGGGCCGUAAAUAACCGAUAUGAGAAAUUUGUUGAAUGUUUCUAGCACCGUGACCUCUGCCGUGAUGUGAAACUCUCCUAAAUUAACGUUGUCCAACCUGAUUGGAGUUCCACAGGAGCAUCAUGCCGCCUUUCGUGCUACUGAGACCCCCUGCUGGUUUGAACACAUACUCGUCCAGCCUAUACCCUCCCAAGUAUGUCGCUGUAUAUCUGUCUAUUUCAUUCAAUUUUGUUUCCUGGAGGCAUGCUAUGUGGCAGGAUGUGCCAUUAAUCGUUUCACGAACAGUGUCCCUCCUCGCUCUCUGAUUGGGCCCUCUCACGUUCCAACAUAGGAUUUCAAGGUUGCAGCUUGUCAUUGGAGUCAUUGGGCAAGCUCGUUAGAAUGUGUGUGCCUGUCAUGCAGCGCCGGUGACUAGCUAGCACAUGUAAAAGCUGAGCGGCUAGAGCAGCACCCUGCAUCCUGGGGCUGAGACGAACUAGACCGCCUGGGCAGCGACGGUCUCGCCGCGGUGCCCCGUAUGGCAUCGUACUCACACUGCGUCAGCGGUGGUUGUCACGGUAGUGCUGGGCAUGCCCUUGCAUUUGUACGUGCUGGUCCCGUGCGCCGUCGAGGAUGGUGCUCCUGCCGGCUGGACCUCCGUACACCGCUCUUGCUCGCUAUGCGGGUGUUCGGCGUGUGCCGUGAGCAACGGGUUUUGGCGUCUGAUCUCCCACUGCACCAGCGCGCCCAGCAGCCCCGCCCGCGCCGUCAGCGGGGGCAUGCAUGCCCACCGCACCGGCUUGUACGCGCGCUUUGCCGCCGGCGUCAUGGGGUGCCAGGCGUCUCCGGCCAGCACCACGCAGCGGCCCCUCAACGACGCGCCCGGCGCCAGGCCCUGCCAGAGCCACCGGUCCACGAGUGUCGACACAGCGCCCUCGGACGUGCACAAGGACUUGCGCGUGCGCUUCAGCCGCGGCGGGCCGGUCGCUUCCCAGUAGCAACGACGAAGCAUGCUGGAGGAGUACACCGGUGGUGACGGCAGCCUGAAUUCCCACCAUUAGCAGAACACAUACAGACCCGCAUACCAUGCCGUUAAUUGUCAUCAUCAACAUAUGCAGAGGGAUGAACAAUCAGAUUGAAAUAGAACGGCAGGUUCAGAUUUUGCCUUAGGAAAGCAUUGCAGUUGCAUACACAAGCACUGGGAGGAAGUGGACUGCAGCAGCUGGUUAGCCGGCGGCGGCAACGUUCAGGCGGCUGCCUGAACUGACUGUGUGUGUAGGUUGUCGACCGUUAUCCUCAACAACAAUAGAUGCGUGCACUGUUUUUAUGCUCGCAUUUCGCCGAUAGAUGCUAUGCUUUGUUAGUACUCCGUAGCUCACUGACUGAUCGGGUCGAGACAGAUCGUUCCCUGAACUGAAUCUUCUGACACCCUCGGUCGCUCGUAAGAUAGCAACUGAGCUGAAUAUUCCUCUGACAGUGAAAAACUGAUCGGGUCGGAGGUAGAUAGAUAUUUAGAUAGAUAGAUGAUUCCUGGGGCUACUGCGAGGAAAUUAGGCACGUUUCCGCGGAAAGGUCGGAGCUGCGGGAAUUCGACGGGGGAGGUUACCACGGCGGCCCGUUGUCUGGCGGGGAAAUACCCAAAAAGUGCAGCAGAUCCGUUGCACUUUUGCACGCAGAACAGUCUCCUCUGCUACUGCAUCAGGAAUUCAGGAGCCUCCAGGAAGGACUAGUCAGACACUCAGACGUAUACGACGGAGAUUCAGCAGCCUUGGCGCGCAGCGCAGCGAACUCGCGUAUUAAUCGCGCAUGUGCGGAUUAGGCUAACCGAGCUCGAAAACACGCGCUUAUACGCCGGUUUGAAUUAAUCUCGCCUCGGACGAGCAAUAAAAUAUCGUGUCGCUGCGGGGUCAGUGACGCCCGCCGCUUUACCUGUUCGCUGCCUCUCCGCGUAUAUAAGCCGCGCUGCUUUGCCUCUCCUUUCCAUCCCAGCUCGGCAGCUCCAUAGACUCAGGCUCUCUCGCCUCUCCCGCGCCGCAGGCCCGCCGAAGGCGCGCGAUCCCGGGCGGCGCCGAGGAAAGCGAGAGCACGGCUUCCUUUCCGGGGAGAUUUCGACGUAGAUUGCAGCGGAAAUGGACGCCGGCGACGCCAUGGAGAGAGGCCAGCAGCGCUCGCCGCGGCUGCCAGAGGUGCGUCCGCUUCUUAGCUACUCACUCCGUUCGAAAUUAUAACUUAUUCCAAUUUUAUUGGAGAGUCAAACCAUUUUAUAUUUGAUCAAAAUCAUAGAGAAAAUUACAAAAAAUUAUAGCAUCGAAACUAAUGACACUUAUUUGAUAUCAUGAAUAUUAGUACUUUAUUGUAUAAAUUUAGUCAAACUUGAGAAGUUUUAACUCUCUAAAGUUAGAAUGAUUUAUAAUUUAGGACGGAAGGAGUACUUUACAAGCAUUGGCUCAUCCGGUUGAAUUACUGCGUGCCCCCAUUUUUUCUUAACAAAUACCGCCCGCUUUUCAGUUUUUGCCUGCAAAGCUCGCUGAAGCCAUCACAGAGCAUUCAUUAAGUCCCAGUUAUUGGACGCUAAAAAUCAAAAUGCGACAUCGCAGAACAUUACUAGGCCGGCCGGGCCUUGCCCGCUGGUGUUGUGUGCACAGAAGCGAGCCCAUGCGUAGCAAGCAACCAAGGUUCGCGCGUGUCCCGCUGCAUUAGCUAGCAACCAUGAUAACGUAUCACGCCACGGCUAAUAUUAACCCAGAGCUUUUACUGUGUCCAUGCGUUUUUCGUGAUUGGUUUACACGAUUCACGGGGGACGGGUUUGGUGACAGCAACCUCGCGGACCAUGUCUCCACCACGUCGAGGAGCGUAACGAUUCAAGCUGCCGACCUUUCACCCAAAGUAAAAGGGAUAAAGGUUGUCAAAAAAAGCGGUAGAACACACUUUAUCGCUUUACACAUCACAACCACUAUGUUCUCUCUUUUUUUUUCGGGUAAACCAGUUCUCAACACACACACACAAAAAAAAAAAAACAUUCCCCACCUGUUAUGUGAAUUCUUUCUAAAAAAGAGCUGUAUACGUAUGCUCGCAAAAUUGGGUGCUAGGACUAGGAGGCCAAGAAAAAAAAAAGCCUUGGGGUGCUAGUUAGAGAACCUGUAUUGUCAUGUACAUGUAUACCAUCAUGUUUCUCGUUCAUGAUUAAGAAAUGGUUGUGAUCAAUCAAUAAACAUUGUGAUCUCAGUAGUUCAUGUUGGUUGUAACCUGCAGAAGCGAAGAGUUUAGCUUUGUAACAGUUUGUACAAAUCAUAACUUUGCAGAGCCGGAGCCCAAAGAUCCAGGACGAAAGCCUCACGGUGCCACUCAUUCAAGACAAGAAAACUGGAAGCAAAGCGCCAGCUGUUGUUCUAGGUGAGCUCCCAAGUUUCUUCACACAGAACCAUCGAGGCAGCUACAGUAAUAUGCUACUGUCAUCGGUGGAAGUUUCUUUUUUUUGUUCACUAAGCAUCCAAACUUCACUAAAUGCCGGCGACAAAUUAAACACUGCUUCUUUUUCUGUAGGAUUUGAGUGCUUGGAGAGCACAGCGUUCAAUGGCAUUGGCACGAACCUGGUGGUGUACCUGGAGAGCGUCCUGCACGGCAGCAAUCUCGCCAGUGCGUCCAAUGUCACCUCCUGGAUCGGGACCAGCUACCUGACCCCCGUCUUCGGCGCCAUCGUCGCGGACACGUUCUGGGGCAACUACAACACCAUCCUCGUCUCCCUCGUCAUCUACCUUCUUGUAAGCAUUUUUUUCAAAUUCAAAUCGAAACAUUUCAACUCUUAAUUUGCUUAAUGACUUUGCAACCAUCUGAUCGGCACAUCAGGGCAUGAUGCUCGUCACCUUCUCGGCGUUCCUGCCGAUCACCGAGCUCUGCGGGGUCGGCUCGUCGUGCCACCCCGUGCUGGGCGCGCGGAACAUGGCCUUCCUCGGCCUCUACCUCGUGGCGUUCGGCAGCGGCGGCGUGCGCGCGGCGCUGCUGCCGUUCGGCGCGGAGCAGUUCGACGACGACAACGCCGUGGACCGGGAGCGCAAGAUAUCCUUCUUCAGCUGGUUCUACAUCUGCGUGGACUUCGGCAUGAUCGUCUCGGGCGUGUUCAUCGUGUGGGUCCAGCAGAACGUCAGCUGGGGCCUGGGAUUCGGCAUCGCCACGGCCUGCAUCGCGCUCGCCUUCGGCGGCUUCGUCCUCGCCACGCCCAUGUACAAGCGCACCACGCCCACCGGCUCGCCGCUCAAGAGCCUGGGCCAGGUCGUGGUCGCCGCGUUCAGGAAGGCCUGCCUCCGCGUCCCCUCCGACGCCGGCCUCCUCUACGAGGUCCACGACAAGAUCGACCAGCCCAAGAUCGCGCACACCGACGAGUUCGCGUUCCUCGACAAGGCGGCCGUGGUCGCCGACUUGGACCUGGAGGAGGUGACGGACGCUGACGCCGCGGGGUCGUCGUCGUGGAGGCUGUGCACGGUGACGCAGGUGGAGGAGCUCAAGAUCCUGCUGCGGCUGAUGCCGAUCUGGGCGACGAGCAUCGUGCUGUCGGCGGCGUACGCGCAGCUGAACACCACGUUCGUGCAGCAGGGCGGCGCCAUGGACAUGCGGGUGGCGUCCUUCACCAUCCCGGCCGCGUCGAUGGUGUCCUUCGAGGUGCUCUGCGUCCUGGCCUGGGUGCUCAUCUACGGCUCCGCCAUCGUGCCGGCGCUCCGGGCCGUCUCCCCGUCCCGCGGCGAGCCGUCGCAGCUGCAGCGGAUGGGCGCCGGGCGGCUGCUCAUGGCGUGCGCGAUGGCCGUGGCGGCGCUGGUGGAGACGAAGCGCCUGGCCGCCGCGGGCCGCGGCGAGGCCGUGAGCAUCCUGUGGCAGAUGCCGCAGUACUUCGUGCUGGCCGGCGCGGAGGUGUUCUGCUACAUCGCGCAACUGGAGUUCUUCUACACCGAGGCCCCCGACACGAUGAAGAGCAUGUGCACGUCGCUGGCGCUGCUCACCGUCGCGCUGGGCAGCUACAUGAGCUCGCUCAUCUACGCCGUCGUGGACGCGCUUACCGCGACCGGCGGCCGGCCCGGGUGGAUCGCGAACAACCUCAACGAGGGGCACCUAGACUACUUCUUCUGGACCAUGGCGGCGCUGUGCACGCUCAACUUCGUCGUGUACAGCGCCUUCGCAAGGAACUACAAGGUCAAGACGGUCGUGUCGUGAUCCGGAUGGAGCGCGCGCUCAGGCUCUGCUUCGUCGCGCACAAGGUCAAGACGGUGGAAUUUGCGGUGGGUGUUGCGCAAUGGCGCGUUUGUGCACAAAGAUUUUAGAGAUUGCUAGGAAUGCGUAGGUGCAUAGGCAACGGCAUUAUUUGUGCGCUCCAUUGUGUUACGUACGUGGUAGCGACGGGCCGGGGUUGUUAUUGAUUUUUUUUGGGUUCAGUUUCUUUUCUUUUCUGUAGUGUAAGUUGAAACAUGGAUCGGCAACAGGACAUCCGUGCAUCAUAUGAUAUAUGCCUCGGGAAAAAAAUGCAGCAAUACUGCGCAUUUGCCAACGAAUCAAUGACUGUGUUUGUUCAUGAGAGAGCGCGUUUUUUAUUGAACAAUAUGGUUAAAUAGAAAUGAAGUUGUUUUUGAUAAAUCUCGAUCAAAACUUUUUUGCAGGUACUAUUCACAACGAUAGAGUCUUCUUCAUCUCGGCAUGUCAAUCUUUCGAGAUGGCAUGUUUCUUUAGUUGAAAUGGAUGGUUCUUUAAUUUGAGAAUUGGAUUUUGAGUCAGUUAAUAUUAUCUAAAAUUUGUGUAUGAGUGACUACUUGUAAAAAUUAUGGACUGAUUCCCCUCGAUGUUGAAGCUGGAUUUUAUCCAUUAUUAAAAAAACAGAGGGCGCGGAAGUAUCCUAUAAUUUUUGGGCCUGGAAUGCCCGUCGCAAUGUUGGGCCAAGCUGAAGCUGUACAAAAGAGGUGGGGUUCUUAUACGGGCCAGACGAUGCUACAUACACACUAGUAAAGGACACCGGGAGUCGAGGCGGUGAGAAAAAAGUCCCGGCAGACCAACGAAUCGCUCGCUGGGGAAGAAAAUGUAAGAUUCAACUCUAAAUAAGGCCUUGUUUAGUUGCCUGAUUUUGGUUGUCCAAAAUCAGUGCGUUAGCACUGUAGCGCACUGUAGCAUUUCGUUUGUAUUUGUAAAUUAUUGUCUAAAUAUUGACUAAUUAGGCUCAAAAGAUUCGUCUCGCAAAGUACAACCAAACUGUGCAAUUAGUUUUUGAUUUCGUCUACAUUUAGUAUUUCAUGCAUCUACGGUAAGUUUGAUAUGAUGGAGAAUCUUCUUUUUACAUAGUGUCAAAGUUGGGAUUUUGGGGAACUAAACAGGCCCUAAAUUCCAACGGAACACAUACUUGGAAGAAAAUCCGUGGCAGCAAGUCAUUCGAUUUUUGAAAUUCAAAAUAAAUGCAUCGUGUUCGGACGCAGCUAGACGCCUAGACUUCUGAUCGAGACUCGAGAGCAAGGUAAGCCACGUGGCCUCUUGUGGUUCGACCAACAGGAUACAGUACUACAGUAGUCCGAUAAUGUGGGGUCCACGCCCACCGCCUGCCAAGUUUUUUGAGGGGAAAAAAUCCGAGGGAAUAAACAGGCCGCUCCAACGGUCGGGCUCCUCGAAUUCAAAUCCGGCCGCAGUUGCCUUUAUAUCCGACCCACACGCUCCCUUCCUUCGCUUUUCCGGAUGACCCAUCGCGGAUUUCAAAUAGCUGCGCAGCCCAGCUGAACCUACCCAGAUCGGACGAGAGGAGGAGGAGACACGGCGGAGAGGAGAAGACGGAGUCACAGGAGGAGGAGGAUUGCCGCCGCCCGCAGCAGGAAGAGAGAGCAUGGACUUCCUUGCGCUCCCCCGCCGCGACCUGCAGGCGCUGUGCAAGCGCAACGGCGUCCGCGCCAACAUGACCAACGCCGCCAUGGCCGAGGCCCUCGCCGCGCUCCCCACGGUAAGGAAGCCGCCCCUCGCUCGCUCGUCCCGUCCCAUCACGCGCGUCGAAUUCAGAUCUGGGCACGGCGGGUAGCUUGCGAGCUUACACGUUCCGUAAUUUCAGGUUGAUGGGAUCGGGGAGUACGUCAAGGAGCCCGUCACCGUUCCUGCGCCAGAGGUUAAGGCGGCGGCGGCGGCGGAUGAGCAGCAGCGGGAGAAGCUGGGGAGCCCACUCCCGCGCGGCCGCCGCGUGACGGUCAAGGCGGUCCAGACGGACGGCGGCAAGGAGGAUGAGAAGCGGGAGUCGGCCAAGGAGGACGCGCCGGCACUUGCAGUUGGGCGGCGCGGUCCCAGCCGGCGCGCUCGGCCAGCUCCUGUCGUGGCGUCUUCGGUGGCCGUGCCGGUUGGAAAGGCGGAGGAAGCGGAGGACAAGCAGGGCGGCAGCAAGGAGGAGGAUCGGAGGCGGGAGGCGAACAAGGAGGAUCCGCCAGCCCCUGUCGUUGGGCGGCGCGCUGCGAGCCGCCGCGCUCGACCAGAGUUGGCAGCAGAGUCAGCGGCGGCAGGGGCGGUAGAGGAGCAGAGGAAGCAAGAUGGGAGCCCGACCCCGCGCGGCCGCCGCGGUGCGGUCAAGUCGUCCGAGCCCAUCAGACCGGAUGACUGUGAGAAGGAGGAGAAGGAGCUCAUGCGGGAGGCUGGAACGGAUGGUGCGCCGGCCCUUGGCGUCGGACGUCGUGGUGCCAGCCGGCGCGCUCGCCCCGCGCCAGCGUUGGCUGAGCCGGCGGGCAAGGUAACAGAGGAGGAGAAGGCGCCACCGAUUCCUCGCGAUCGCCAUGUCAAGCUGAACGACGACAAGGAGGAUACAAAAGCAGCUACGAAGCCAGAAGGGGAGGAAGACGCGCCAGCACUGGGCGUUGGUCAUCGCGGUGCCUGCCGGCGUGUUCGGCGCGCGCCUGCUGUGUCAGGCAAGGUAGCAGCAGAGGCUGAGCCACGGGCUCUGAUCCCACGUGGCCACGGCGUUCCUGUCAAGUCACCCGAGGUUACCAGGCUGGACGAUAGCGAGGACGAGGAAAAGGAGGACACGAAGCCGGAUGAGAAGGACGAUGAAGCGCCUGCAAUUGGCGUGGGUCGGCGUGGUGCCAGCCAGCGCGCCCCCGCCCCUGCAGAUUCUCCGGCUACGAGAAGAAGGGCUGCAACAAGUAAAGCUGAGGCAGUAGGUGUGACCGAGGAGGCUGUGCCCAUGCGGGCCACUCGUCACCGUAAGCCAACUAUGAAAGCGGCCGCGGUGGCAGAGGAGAAGGCGCUGCCAAAGGCGACAAGAAGGAAGGCGGUAAAGAAGACCAUUUCGCAGCAGGAGGAACAAGAAAACCCACAAGGUGAACUUCAACAAUAUCUAACACUCCAAGGGAGAGAUUACAAUAUACAGCCCCAAGGGUCCAGUCCAGCCAGGACUUUAUCUACAAGAUAUUCUAGUUACAAACUUAUAUAACAAGAUAGCAACAAAUCUAUCUACAACUACCUGGCCGAACCAAAGCUCUUUGAGUCGAUUACAAUUGAACUUCAACAAUAUCUAACAAGAUUGACUUGAUCCCAAUCAAUUCAUUUCUGUGGACGAACUGAGCGCUGGUUUUGCUUAUGCCAAUUUUGAUUUCUGAACCUUGCGUCGUCUCUUAUGCAGAGGCUGUGCCUGCUCCAGUUUCUGACGUGGGAUGUGAUAACCCUGAAGACCCGGAAGAGGAUUCUGGCCCUCAGAAGAGAGAGCAAAAACAAAAGGAUGAAGGUGAGACCUGCACAUGAUGUGUCCGCUCCCAUUUCUUCUUGGUACCUGCUUUGCUGUGUCAUUGACUGAUAUAGCCGUUUUUGUGUUCAUUGUUCAAUUUCUGUUCAAUUUGGAAUUUCAUUGUUGUUCAACUUGGAAUUUCAGAUGUGGUGAUCAUUGAGGAUGAGAUACUGAUGGAAGAGAACCCGGCACAAGAGCUACUUGUGACCAAUCAGGAAUCCAUGGAUCAUUCAACACUGCAAGGACAACAAGUGGGUGUUGAGAACUGUCCUGCUCCUUCGGCCAGCCAGGAGGAUUCACCUAUCAUGGGUCUCGUUUCAAUGGCAACAGAACAGGCAGCUGAGAAGGACGAAUGUGCCAAUUUUCAGGAUGGUAAAGGAUCCUGCGGGUCAUUGGACAAGGGGGUGUCCGAUAAGAACCAUGAUGCCGGUGAAGAGAUAGAAAAGUUGUCCAUCAUCCAGGGGCUGCAGGCCUCACCGACAGAAGACCACAUUGAGGAAGUUGUCACUGAUGAUGCUAACCAUGAAAGUGAAAUGCGGAAUUUCAAUGAAGUACUGCAUGGCACAGAGGAAACCAGUGAGGCUAAUGCAGAAGAUGAUAUUGUCAGUCAGGACAAGGAAGAUAUCACUAUCGAUGAGUUGCAGGCUGACUUGGCAGAUGGGUCUGUUCUUGUUCAUUGCUCAGGGAAUAUCAAACUGUUUGUCGAAGAGGAGACCAAUGAGGUCAAUACUGAAGACGGUGUUUCUUUUCAGGAGAAGGGAGAUGUGGCUGUUGAUAUGGCACUGCCUGACACAGUGGCUGAGGCCAUUCCUUCUGGUUGCUCAAUUGAUAUCAGCUGUGUUGAAGUGGAGAAGGCAGGAUACAUCACUAGUGAGAUGUCUGAGAGCCCAGCUGCAUUGGAUGAGGAUGGUGAGGUAACAAACCUGUACGCUGAUAUCUGUCAUGCCGAUAAACCGAGUGAGGUGGUCAUUGGUGACAGUGUGUCCCAAGUCACAGUACCGGACAGCAAAGUUGUUCAGGAGGAAAAGGUGGUAGUGAUUACUGAUGAGAUGCCAUGGAGCACAGCUGCGAUGCAUGAGGACGUCGAGGAAGAUCAGUUUCAAACUAUUUUUAUUCAUGCUGCUGACAGUCUGCCGGAAGUUAAAAUGAUAGAUUAUGAAGUUGAGGAGAAGACAUCAAUGAUCAUUGAUGAGCAGCAGCAGAGCACGGUUACAAUCGAUGAAGAUGUUGUCGACAACCAUUUGGAAACUGAUGUUGUUCAUGCUGAUGAACAUAAGGAAGCGGUAACUAUUGAUGAAGUGCCAGAAUCCACAGGGACAGACGGUGAAGUUCUUGAGGAGGACAAGGCAGCUGUGAUCACUGAGGAGGUGCCACAGAGCACUGGUAAAAUGGAUGAGCAUGAAGAGGAAGAUCAGUUCCAAACUGCUUUUGUUCAUGAUGAUCAAGUAGUCACUGCUGACAGCGUGCCAGAUCUGAAAAUAACAGGUUGUGAACCAAUUGAGGACAAGACAACACUGAUAACUGAUGAGAAGCAACAGAGCACAGUCACAAUGGAUGAAGAUGUUGUCGAUGAUCAUUUCGAAACUGAUGCUGUCCAUGCCGAUGAUCACAAGAAAGUGGUAACUGCUGAUGAAGUGCCAGAACUCACAGGGACAGAUGAUGAAGUUGUUGGGGAGGAUAAGGCAGUUGUGACUGCUGAGGAGGUGCCACAGAGCACAGGUACCGAUGAGGAAGUCGAGGAAGAUCAGUUCCAAACUUUUUUUGUUCAUGCUGAACAAGUACUCACUUCUGACAGUGUGUCUGAUCUGAAAAUAACAGAUUGUGAAGAGAAAACGACACUGAUCAUUGAUGAGAAGCAACAGAGCACAGUUACAAUGGAUGAAGCUGAUGUUAGUGAUUAUUCCGAAACUGAUGAAUUGAAGGAAGUGGCAACUGAUGACAAAGUGCCACAACUCACAGGGACAGAGGGUGAAGUUGUUGAGGAGGAUAAGGCAGUUGUGAUCACAGAUGAGGAUGACUGGAAGGAGAGUGCAUUCACCAGUGAUCUUCCUCAAGAGCUCGAUGUUUCAGAAGAAUCCAAAGAUCGCAUAACUCCAGCACUGGUUGAUGAUGCCACUGAGUCCCUGUCCAAUAGCAUCCUCACUGUGGAGCCAGCUGCGUCCAUAGCUGCAGACGCAUCAGUGUGCAAGAACAGCAUCGAGAAGAACACUACUGAACUUGUGGCAAUGCAAGAUGAGAAGGUAGUAAAGGUGAACAAGAAAUCUGUGGAUUUGUACGCAUUUAGCCUACGGCAGCUCAAAACCAAGCUCAAGGAGGGGCUGAACGCCAAGAAGGUAAUGAACCAAUCAGCUCCACUCUGUUACUAUUCUGAUAUCUGAUUUGAAUACUGAACUGCCUCUAAUUUGCAGAACAAAGAAGCAAAGAGGGUGGCCCUUGCUAGAGUGGACGAGAAUGUGUGUCGAUCCCACACAAAGGGCCAGCAGCAGAACCUGAAUCUGCAACAGCAUUAACCCGGAGAAGAAGCCGCGGCUCUGAACUCUGACCAUAUCAUAUUUGCGUGCCAGAUGGUAUCAGGUUGUUCUGAAACCAUGGUUUCUCCGACCUUGGCAUCUAACCUAUAUUUGUGCUUGUUCUUUCGUGUGUUUGCGUGUUUGCUUGGAGAGGCAUGAGGCGAUUCGGCUGUAUUUUGUCAAGUCUAAUCGUAGGCUAGUACCCAGCUUUGAACUGUGAGUGGUUUGCUGGUGUUGGUUGCCUGUCUUAUUUUGAACUCCCAUUACUCGUUGGGAAAACCUGCUUAUAUAUAUUUAUGUAUCGUGCAAUAACAAGGUAGCAUCAGACUGUUUGGAAAUGAGUCAUGAAGCAUCGUUUGCUCGAUGUGGUAUCUUCCCUUUGGAUGCAGUAAAGUUAACUGUACACUUUUUCUGCCCCCAACAAUCCCUUCCACGGGCCUCAGCAGAACGUGUGAUUUCAGGCCUUCAGAAUUCAAAUCGGCAAAAUUCGAGAGUACAGGUACAGCUAUCUGCGUUUGGAGUUUGGACGAAUCUGAAUUUCGGAAAAUAAUCUGAACAUGAAGUGGAAUGCUCUAAACUUGUCUGCCACAGUAACAAUCCACAUGAAUACAUAUGGUCCUUGUUCCUCGGCCACCAUUCUUAAAUCCUGCACGCAUCUUCAUUCAGAUUCAGAUCGAAAUGCUACCAUCAGAUGGAGCUCGUCCACAGCCAGGUUAUCCGAGGCACGGAAACAAAUUUGACCCUGCCACGAGGUUGUGUGGCUCGUCCACAGCCAAAUUGGGAGUGCUCCAGUUGGCCACAGCGUCGCUGCCACAAUAUAUUAUUGGAUCCACUAUACCACUAUAUUGGAGCUACAUGAUGCCCAAACGCGGAACACGUCGAUCAAACAGUAACCAUUGUCACGAGUCACACACAAGUCACAACCACUCAAUCGCUGAUUCAGCCAUGUGGUUUUUUCUCACACGUCGUCCUCAACCAUGAAUGCCAAUGACAGCGAUUUCAAACCAAAAACAGAAAAGAAGCCGUACACGCACGUAUCUGGAAAUCUUUAUACUAGCUGUUAUCGAAUACUUGCACUACUAGCACUGAUUGGGACACUAGUGUAUCACAUCCACAGGCAACACCAACCCACAUUUGCGCGCUCCGUUCCAGGCAGCACCAACACGCCGUCGAAUGAAACCAUCUGUGUUCGUGGUUGAGUUUGGUGGAACAAACCUACCAAACGUGCAGAUUAACAAAAGCAGAUCCUUGCUCCGAAAAAAAAGGGCAGAUCAGAAAAAGAAUUCAUGUCAUAGAUUAGCAAGAUCAUAACAUACUUACAAACCUAAUGUCAGAUUCGAAAAGCUUUGAAGAAAUGUCAAUAUAGCAUGCUCAAUUGACCAAAAACCUCACUGCCACGAAAAUAUUCAAUCCCGAAGAGGCAGGGCAGGCGACGAACUCAUCGUAACGUUAAACACGUCGAUACAGCACCAGCCACUCGCCCACUCCAAUUCAGCCGUAAUCACGUGACAAGCGUGGUUACCGAUUGCUAAACAAUCACCGAUUGGAUUCAUGUCGCCCUCUACUCUGAAUUCCUGAUGCGGACUGAUUUGAUUUCAAACCAAAACGAAACCAACCAUAAUUGAAGGGCAUCAAGGACAUGAAACAUGCGCAAACCAGUGACCCGAACACUUAUAUAACACGGAUAAAGGACGCAGGUACAUCACACCCACAAGCAGGACAUGCGCGCAUCUCCUGCUUGCUCUUAUUACAGGCACGGGCACGAGCAUCACGUUGCUACUACAGCUACUACCAGUCCUGAUGCACGCCAUGCCUGAUACUACUACCAUAAACCCAGUAUUAGCACAGCCACACUACUACUUCCAAGCAGUAUUAUAUCGGUCGAUAAGCAAGGGAGCCCAGCGGAGCAGAGUGAUAGGAGUAUCAGUGCCGGGCUCUCACAAACUUAUCGGCAGUGGGCUGACGGCCGGCCUCAGGCGGCGGGGGGCGGCUUCUCGACGUCCUCAAGGGGGCGGAACCACACCUUCUGGUCCAGCACCGAGCCCGCACCAUUCGCGGCGGCGUCCGGCGCGCCGGCGGCCUUGUUGGCGUCCACCGCCGCGGGGCCGAACACGCCGGUCUUGGGGUGGGGGCCCCAGUACUUGUCGGGGUUGGCGGCGCCGCCGAUCACAUCGUCCGGCACGAACGCCGGGCGCACCUGGUCCUCCAGGUUCUUGUCGUACGCCGAGGCGUGCACGGCCCUCCUGCACAAGGUCGCAUCCAGUCAGAACUCAGAAUGGUGGACGAGCAAACGAGUGUCUGACGAUCCUUGUGACAAACAUGGUUUUAACAAGAGUGCUUAAGAUCCGAUGAAUGAAUAAUCGUUCUGCAAGCAACGAUGAUACCACAAUCCCAGGACAUGUCACGACAAAACAACGACAGAAACCAGGACAACCCCGGGAUCCCGAUACCAAGGCAGACUGAUCUCGUUCGCUGCAUUGUGCGCACCGUGCGACAGGUUCAAGUUCUCCUGAAUCAAGGUUACUGCUAGCACUUGUUUCAUGUUCGCAAGAAAUUUUGAAGACGCACGAGGCGUUGCAUGCCAAAACCUUAGCAAACUCUUUUAAAAAAACCCUUAGCAAACACGAAGCGGCACACCAGCCCAUGGCGAUGGCGCACGUGCCCCCGCCUCCGCCUCCACCUCCACCGCUCCACGCACGGGCGCGCGCGCGCGUGCACAUGGGCGGGCCGUGAAGAGGAUACGCGAGCGAGCGAGAGAAGGCGAGGGCACGACACGACGGCCGAAGCAGCUCGCUGUUCGGUGGGUGCGGAUAAGAGCGAGGCGGGACCGGAUCGAGUCCCAUCCGUACCGCACCACGCCCCGGUCACCCUGCACCGUCCGAUGGGCUUGUCACCUAGCAGAAGGCCCCGGCAACGGACGGCCCCGAUCCGGUCGUCGGCCCUGUGCAGAACAGCCCACAGCAAAUCCAGCGAUGAUGGGAUCGAAAGGGAAUCGUACGGGCCGGACGCGAAAGGAUGGGCCCGCCGGACGUCCGGGCUUCUGGUUCUCGGGCCCCACCGCCAGACGGAGACCCACUUCUGCCUCAGACCUCAAGAGAAAGAAACCUUUGAGUGGAAACCAAGAGAAAGAAACCUUCGGGUGGAAACCUGAGCGACGGAUGGCGGGUGGAGCGACAACCGACAACUACCGCGCACCAGACUCAUCUAUCCAUCUCUAUCUCCAAUUCGCCACCGAGAACUUUUCCGAAAGUGAAGCGUUGGGCGCGGCUUGGUGUACACAUCCUGUGUGCGUGGCUGUGUCGCCACUGCUGCUUCUCAUCUUCUUUGUGUGGGUGCGCCUGGAGCUGGAGUGGAGUGUGGUCAGUGUGGGGCCUUGCCUUUUCCUCCCUAGCAGAGGCAAGAGUUUUUUUGCGGAUUUUGAUGGACUGAACUGGGCAGUAAAAAUAUCUCCGUGGAUCUCACUUGAUCGAUCGGGAGUCUGCUAGUUCGAGCGUGCAAGAUGAUUAGGUGAAGUGCCAGCCUUCCAGUUUCCAGGUGCUCUUGCCUAUUGUGUUCUCACACGGUCAGAUGAUCACUAAACAGCUGGGCGAUGUUCCCAACGCAGAGGAUUGCCGUAUCUAGAUCAUGUAAGAAGACGAUCCUUCAAGUUUAGCAGUAACGUCUAGACAUGUAAUCGCAUAAUAAAUCGACAGAAUACAAGAUUAUCUGCUGAAUCAGUGGUUAACCACAAAAGCUAAACAUUCGUACUACCAUGUCGGAAGAAAAGCUGCAGGGAACGCUAUGCAAAGCACCGAAAGCCCGAAAGCAAAUCUAAAGGAUGGCCUAAAAAGCACAUCUCUCUGCUACAACAAGAUCAUGGACGAACUUAACAAGAACACUCGCCUACAGAAAUACUCCUACUCCCUUGUCGGAGGAAAAGCUGCAAGCAACACUAAGCAAAGCUAGGAGGCCUAAAAACAAAUCUCUCUGCAACAACAAGAUCUUGGGCGAGCUUAGCAAGAACAAUCGCCUACAAGAACUAGGCGAAAAUAAAUCACACGACAAUAACCGCAAGCGGGCAUGCCAGGUGGCCGUCGUUCGUCAUGUACCUCGGGGAGGCGGCGGCCUUGCCGGCCAGGACGCGGCUGACGAAGCUUCCAGCGAUCGCCCGCCCCUUGGAGCUUGCCGCUGCUGCCAUGCAAGGACCGACCGUUCGGGAGGGAAGGGAGCGCAGAAGAUGAAUCGCCGGACGGACGAACAGUCCUGUGCUGCGACUGCGAGAUUGGGGGAAGAAGUCCAAAGGGAGUG
rnacentral:lncRNA from 1 species